rnacentral:lncRNA from 1 species
GGCUCGGCACCGCCAUCUUCGUCCUCGAGUGGGCCGCCCUCGCGCUCGCCUUCUCCCUGCGCCUCGACGAGGACGACGACGGUGACGAUGACCUCCGCCGCGCCAAGAACUGGGCCGACGCCUACCAUGUCUGAGCGGCGAGCCUCCGCGCUCCCUGCAUCUUCACCCGCUGUGGGGAGCGGCGCCUCCUUGGUGUUACUGCUGUCGCUAUUCUUUUGUGCUAGUAGUACUGUGUGUACCGUGGUCUCAGAUUCUUUUGUACUAUGAUAUGAUGUCAAGGCAAAUGUAUAUUGCUUUUGACCUAUUUAAUCGAAGAAAUAUAUUUAUAUUGCUUUGGAUUUGGGUACUUGGUUGUACUCCCUUCAAUUUCAAAAUAGAUGACUCAACUUGUAAGUGCAUGAUUUAUGCAGCCAAUUAAACUAGAUUUAUGCAGUCAAUUCAGUACUACUACAGUACAACUUGGGAAAACUUGUGCUAUUUUUCAGAGUUCUUGCUGAAAUCAGACUGGCUCGCUUUGUCUGGGCUGUCUUGAGUGAGCCGGUGCGGCGGUGCUGGGCACCUAUUGGUAGAAGUGGGGAUUAAACGCAACUGUAGUUGCUGUGUGCUAGGGUGUACUGAACCUGCUUAGGCCAGUUACUCAGAAAUAUCUUCGAUGCAACAGUGGCGUGUGGCGGUCGGUGCCGCCGUGCUGGGCAGCAAGCAGCGGGGGAUCGAGGUAAAUGCACCACGGUGCCUGAAUUUGCCACGGCUGAUCACUUUGAUGUCUGGACUUGUGGCAUACAAAAAAGUGAUGCAUGAACUUAGCUUUUGCGUGCAAUAUAGUUGCAUUUGCCGUCUGUGGACCUUAACUGUGGCACCCUAUUUUCGUUUGAAGCCGUCUACUCAGCCGGCCUAGCAUCGGGUGGAGUAGUGAUCGGGUGGGGGGAUUGGAAUUGCCGACCUGCAGGCAAUUCAUGUGUUCGAUCCGAUGAACGCAGGUUAUCGCGCUCCAAUGAGCGACGUUUCAUGACUCUUCAGGCUAUGUCUGUAACAAAAUAAAUUACACUAAAAACGUUCAUGUAUUUUUAUUAAAAAAUCUUCAUGUCAUUUAAUAUAAAAUAAAUUACAUUAAAAAUGUUCAUGUAAUUUAAGAAAAUGUUCACUUACUAAUUAAAAAUACCCAUAUAAUUAUGUUAUGAAUUACAAGAUGUUUACUUUUUGAAAUUACCGCGUUCCCCAACAAGAGCAUUUUCAACAGCCGCCCAACGCACGGCACGCUAAAAACUACUUUGCAGCGCGUUCAUCGUCUGAUUUGGCGCGGCGGGCAGCGCUGGUUCCAACAGCCGCGCUAAAAUUUAGCUCGCGGGCGUAGCUCCAGCAGGCGCGUUAAAAUGCAGCGCGCGCGCUCUCGCACGAACACUCCAGACUAGGUUGCAUAGAUAUUUUUUAGAUAAUAAACGAUACAUAGUUCAUUAUAGCAUAGAUAAAACGAUACAUAGAUAUUUUACAUAGUUCAUAGCAUAGAUGGAUAAAACUAUGAUGCAACUACAUAAAAGUUAUAGUGCAACUAAUAAAAACUACGGUGCUACUAGAUAAACUAUUGUGCAACUACAACCUACUCUGAGUCGUCCUAAUCAUCAUCAUCCUCGCUGGUGUUGUCCGAGGUAUCGAGCCAAAUGUCCUCCCAACGAAAAUCAUUAUCCCCAAAGAUCGACUCCCCACCUGCUUCAAUGAUAUCGCACUGUGAUAUGGUCAGUGACUUCCGCCGACGCCUGUCCACCCGCUCUGUGCGGCGCCUUGCCGUCCUUUCCGCCCAGUAGACGCGCUCGUUGGCGACGUCCUCCGGUGACGCCGGCGCCACUCCGCCAUGGCUUGCUCAUCCUCCUCGGUGAUGAGGAGGCGGCGCUGCCGCCGACGGUGCUCCGCACGGUCCUGGUCCGUGAUAAGACGAGGCGAAGAGGCGACGGCCUGCACCUGCUCACUCGUGUAGACGUCGCGGAAGUUCAUCUGUGACGGAGGCCUCUCUAGGCGCCAGCCGCCGUGUCGUACGUGCGGGCGGCCUCGUGCGCGGUCCCGAACGUGCCGAGGCCGAGCCGGACGUCAUCGGACCGGAUCUCGGCGUAUUACGUGUCGCCGGGGCGCUUGCGGACGCCGCGGUAGUCAGACGAUCCCCGCGGCGCGGCGGCAUGGUGGUGGCAGGGCGAGGAAGCGGCGAGCAAGCGGCAGAGAGAGCGUGUGACAGUGUGGAGGCCGCGUGGCGAGCGCCACAAUUUAUAGGCGCGCCGAAAGCGGUGCGCCAAAUCUAGCGCGCGCGCAAUCGUUUUCUGCCACCGCUGGAGCGCGUGAAAACGUCCCGUGCACACUAAAGUGACAGUUUACCGCGGCCCGCUUUUUUUGGCGCCGCUGUUGAAGAUGCUCUUAUCGUUGCGCCUUGUUCACCAUCAGCCGAUGUCGCGCCUUGAUUGCUGACAUUGUUCUCGGAAGAACAACUUGAAAGAGGGUUGGCAAAGGGUGAGACGUCUGAUGAGAUUUUGUCGAGACAGGCGAUCACAUGGCACAAAUUUUCCACCAUGGGCGAUCUUAUGACAAGGACACGCAAACCGGAACACAUACCAAUGCACACAAACUACAGUAUGUUCCAUGAACUCUCCGCAGUACUGCAUUUACAUCGCAGCCACCGGCCCCUCAAAAACGGAAGGCCACGCGCGAAAGGGAAACCAGCAGCCGCGGGUAAACCAAGCACAACGAAUCACAUACCACUAUCGUCAAACAAAUGCGACAUGCAAGAUCGACAGAGACACGCACCAAAGACCAAACCAAGCACACGAUACAGAUUGUUACACCGGGCAGAGACCAAAGUAUCAUGGAGAAGAUCGAAAGGAGAUCGCGCGAGCUACUUGAACGACCGCCGGCCGACGCCGGCCGGCAUGGACACGGUGGAGUCGACGCUGAGCCCGCUGACGGACCGCCGGUGCUUGUGCCGGCCGCCACCGCCCGCCGUGGACGCCGCCGGCGUGCCCACCCGCGACGGCGCGGCGGACUGGUCCCCGCCGCCCCGCCAGAACGGGCUCUUGGCCCAGCUCCCGAUGCUGUGCCCGAGCCCGAACGAGAACCUGGGCUUCUGCUCCGCCGCGCGCCGCUCCUUGUCCAGCUGCUGCUGCAGCAGGUGCGCGCGCGCCCGGGCCUUGGCGGACGCCGACAUGGUCGGCGUCAUGUAGUUGGGCACGCCGAACGCCGGGCAGCUCGUCAGGCUCUCGUCGUCGCGGACGCUGCCGCCCCCGCCGUGGCUCGACGGCGGCGCCGCCGCCCCUCGCGCGUCCCGCGCGGGCUUGCUCGGCUGCUUGUAGUAGGCCGACGCCACCGACCGCGCCGGCGUGUUCGCGGCCGUCGUCAUCGGCGUCGCCGUGCUCAUCUGGCGGUGCGCGGCCGUCGUCGAGAUCGGCGUCGGCAUGCUCAUCUGGCGGUGCCCGGUCAUUGCCGACAUCGGCGUCAUCAUGUUCAUGUUCAUCUCGCGGUGCCCGGCCGUGGACAUCGGCGUCAUCACGCUCAUGGUCAUCUCGCGGCGCGCGACGGCGGGCGUGGGCCUGGGCCGGCUGACCGCGGGCUCGACGUGGCGGGGGUAGUCGCGCUCGUGGCUGCUGCGGUCGAUGGGCGACCACCACCAUGGGUUCCGGCCCGACUGGAGGUCAGCCAGGAUCGCGUGGGCCGCCAUCGGCGUCGACUUCAUCACCUACAUCCAUCCACGUGCCAAGAGGACACCAACAUGAACAAAUCAGGGUGCUAAAAAAGCCAAAAAAACCAGGAACAUAUUAUCUUCUAAUAAAAGAACUAGAUUAUGACAAGUGCAGGGAGAACAUAGUAAACCAUCCAAGUACCUACUGACAACGACAUCACGCCUAGUUUCAGAUAAGCAACACAGUGACACCACACCUCUGACAAAGAAAAACGUUGACAGUGUGGCUCUAGUUGGCCCAUCGACGCCAUCGAAUCGAAGCACAAGAAAAUUUUCAUCACCUACACGUCCCUCUCAGAUGAUUCGUCCAAGCAUCCCUGAUGCAGAACAUGCACUAACUACUACAGUUGGACUGACAGAAUGUGUAAACAGCUCGUGCGAGACCGACCAGACAGGUGCAGAGAAGACACAUUCCAACUCUCCAACAAUGACACCACACCUCUGGGUGGGAAAAAAUACGGUAGCUCGCUCACUAGCUUUUCGCUGGCCGCUCGAAAGUAUUUUUUCGCACCUACUGGUCUCUGUCGGGAGGAUGGAUGGAUGGAAGAGAUGUUCGGUCACCCUCUCGCUAAUAUUAAUCUGCUGUAACUACUCCCGCUGCUUGACUGACGGAAGGAAUUAAGCUGUCCCUUUUGCUUGUUUCAGAAUUCAGAUUCAGACGUGAUCGAUCGUGCUGUGUGUAUACUAUUUUUUCUGGAAGAUAAUACGUAGAGUACGUACGUACCUGGUGGGAGUAGGAGUAGGCGAGGGCUCGCUCGCGCUUCAUCACGGCCUCCGCCUUGCGCUUCGUCCUCGCGUCCUCCUCGUCCCGGCUCAGCAGGCUGUCGUCCCACACGCCGCCGUCCUGCACCUCCAAAACUUCGUCACAUGCAUGCACGGGUGAGUGUCAACGGAAAGACGAGCCAAGUGCCUGGCGUGCCGUGCGCACCUGCGAGCCGGAGCGCCAGCGGCGGCCGUCCCGGAGCAUGGCGCCGUGGCGGUCGUUGCGCCGCUCCAUGGCCUCCACGCGGCUGGCGCGGACCUGGGCCUGCACGCGCACUAGCGUCUGCAUGCACCGCAUCGCGUGCGCCGUCUGCCGCCGCACGCUGGGGCCGCGCACCACCGCCUGCAGCCGGAUCAGGCCGCGCAGCGACCGGUAGCUCCGGCGCGCCGAGUAGCCCCGGAACGCGGCCUGGAUCGCCACCGCGGCCGCGCGGGCCUGCUCCGGCGCCACGGCCCGCUGCCUCGCCCGUGUUCUGGUAUGCUGCUGCUGCGGCUGCCGCCACUCGGCCAUCUCCGCCCUGCCCUGCUGCAGCCGCUGCAGCCUCUGCUGCUGCUCCCUGUCGUGGUCGAACCGCCGGAUGAGCGGCGGCGGCGAGGACGGCGGCGCAGGCAGCUGGAGCACCGCCGCCUGCUGCUGCCGCUGCUGCUUGUCACCGCCGGCGUCGCGCUCCCGCUCCCGAUCACGCCCCCACUCCCGCUCGCGCUCGCGCGCCGCGGGCGUGGUCGGCGCCGUGGCGGCGACGGUGGCGGUGGUGGGCUUGGCGGGGGCGAUCUGGUACUGCGCCGGCGGCCUGGCGUAGUACUGCCGCUCCAUCUCGGCGUCGCCCAGGAUCUUCUCGAUGCUGCUGGGCUGCCGGUACAGCGGGAUGCUCAUCAGCGGCGCCGGGUCGGCGUGCGGCCGCGACCGCCCGAACCCCCAUCGCUUCUUGUCCCUCGCGUUCCCCCGGUACUGCUGCGGCUGCGGGGGCGGCUGCUGCGGCGGGUACUGCGCUACCAGCUGCACCUGCCAUGAAUACAUCUCACCGCUCAGUUAUCUUCCCGAAAAUUCUACAUGUAAAAUUCUUCCACUGCUAAAACUUGUAUUAAGUGUAAAGAACAUUCUUAUAUUAUGGGAUGGAGGGAGUAGAAAACUUCACGAAAGAACGGAAAAUGUGAUGCAAAUAAUACAGUAAAAAUACAGACUACACGUGCAAAUCAACGAACAGGAUAAAGUGACUUUGUACAGGGCUGUGUAUUUGUCGCCACGAUACUGCUGCACCUGUCUACAUGCGCAUACAGCUUGCAUGCAGCGAUUGCUUCUGGGCAAAGCUUGAGUUUGGGUGAGCAACCAACUUUUUUUCUCCAACACACGUGCCUUUUAGUUUUCUCUGAUGACCUUUACACAUUUCAAGUGGGAAAAACACAUUUUUGGGAGUUUAAAGUAGUAGUGCUCACAUUUGUUGGCUUGUCCUUGGGGGUCGUGGUGAAGGCCUUCUUGAGCGCAGUGAUCCAGCCGCUUCCCUUCUUGCCCAUCUCCUUAACAUUUCUCCCACACACACCCCUGCAGCAAUUCCAUGAACAACAAGAACUCAACUACGAUCAACGAACAUGAACAAGAUUGGAUAACAUGCAUGCUAAGUAGUGGUACUGAAUCGAACUAUUGAUACACAAAUAUAAAGGGAAAUCAUAUAUCUGAUGCCUACUCUAUACAAGGGUGGCCAAGUUUUUACCUCAGGACUAGCUUGUUUCCUAAUACAAACUAGGCAGAAGGAUGGUAGAUACAUGGAGCAAAGUCCAGCCAUACCUUGUUUGAGCUUCCCCUGCGUCUACAAAGCCUUGCUGAUGCUUCAGUGGAGUAGCAUCUCAUGGCAGCAAAAGAUGCACCCGCUCUCCGGUCCUUCCAACUCUCUCUUCCUCCGGUGGAGGUGGCCGUCUUAUACUAGAUCCUUUACCGGAUUGGGUGGCCAAGGGGAGCUGCCCACUUCCCCACUCGAUGACACCCAACCAACCUUGCUUCACCAGCAAGCCUCACGAGGAGGCAGCCAAUUGUCAGCACGGCUUUCAGGAGGAGGAGGAGCACUGCUCUCGUACGCCUUGCCUUUGCUGUACUUCAAACAUACAUUCAUCCUUGGAAUUGGAUCUCCCCGAUCCGAAUCCAUGUGUGAUGUGCACAGGCACAACAUGGCUUGCCUUGCCGCGCACAAACUCAACUGUAAGGCUGCGGCCCGGUUGGUCGGUACAGGAAAUAAAUUUGAAAACUACACGAGGAGUCCACAGGAAGUUGUGCAGACAUAAGGGGUUUUAGCUGGCGUGAGAGUGAGGGUUCAGGCAUGAUUAGCCCGUCGAUCGGGCAGAUAUGGUAGCUCACCCUCACCUGAUGGUCCUUGUUCAUCUGUUACCAUGCGCUGUCGACCGCCGGAUCGGACCGGUAACGAUCCGGGAAGCUGGUGAUUCAGUUUUGGCAGUAGCAUCUGAGGGGUUUCACAGUGGGCAAUGAUUCCGAUCAUGCUCGUGCUGGUGGGUGGUUAAAUCCGAAGCCUGAUCAUUUGCGACCAUCAUAUGCUCGAGCAACACAACUGUCAGCCAGUUGGUAACUAGCUUCAUGUGCAUGUCAUCGCUCAAAUGCUCAUGCACACUUGCUUAAGGCUGAAUCCUCUCUAUAGACAAGCGUGAUGAUGGUUCACUUCCAACGAUGAUCAUGGUUGGCAUUUCUUCCGGCAACAAGUUUACCGUCAGAAUGUAGCAUCUUGGUGGGUGGGACACUUGUUGGCAGGAAAGAAGCCCUCCUGAAAAGGCAGCCAAGGGCCCGAAACGGAUGUUGUUUAUCAGCCUUUUUCAGUAGCUCUCAAAACCAACUAAAUUACAGAGUUACAACACUGGUGUGGCCCACAUGCCUGUGCCGAAGGUGGUGUAAAAGUGGGGGAUGUGUAGGUCUGAGUGGCUUAAGUAGGCAUUGGAAUCUUGCUUGCAAGGUACUUCAAUCCAGAGACCAAAUGGGAGAUAAACAUCUCCUAGAAAGAUGUGUAGUAGGCUAGUUGGUUCCAUCAUCAAAAUCAGGAGCAGGGCUUAGUGCUGGAAGUUGCUCCUAACAACCCAUGUAGGCCACAUCCAUGGCCCUCUUGGUCAAUUCUGUCUUCAUCCUCAAACCAUCUGCCUCCUAGUUGUAUUGGACCCAUCACCUCGAAUACUGUUGCUUGUGCAUGCAUUGCCCCUUGCUUUCGUAUUUGAUUAAACUUGCCACCUUUAUGCUUGCUUCUGAAAUUAUUGUAGUGCUAGUGGGAAGAAGAGCCAGUUGUGUAAUCCAGUGUAAGAUAUAUGCCCCAAGUGUGACCAUCCUUAGGUGUCAAGCCUACUUUUAAGCAUAACCAAACGUGCCAAGAUGCAAAAAAUGUGUGUGUGUUUUACUUGAAGCAAAAUCCCUUUUAAGCAAAGCAAUUAGGUGAGUAUUGAUCAUAAUGCGGUUCUUCAGUUAACAUUAUGCAGUUUCCCUUUUCUUUUUCCGGACCAAGAUGACACGACUUAAUUGUUUCUUGUUCCGGAUCGUUGAAGCAGAGUUUAAGCAAUUAGGUGAGUGUUGAUCAUAUUUCUGUUGUUUUUCAAAACCUUGAUUUUCCGCUGUUUUUAGUCGUUUUGAAAGACUUUGGUGUCGAGAAAAAGCUUGUUUAAAGAAGCUGGUAUUAGAGAUACUCGAAACAUAAUAUUUAAUCGGGAUUGCUAAAUCUCAAUCGACUGAGACUUAACCAAGUCUCAGUCAAUGCUAUUUCAUAAGAUCUUGCAUGGAGAUUCGUGAAAAUUUUAUUUUUAACCUUUUCUUUUUUCUUAUUUAUAUGCUAUGCCACUUGACUGAGACUUGAUUAAGUCUCAGUCGACUGAAACCUAACCACAUCAUAUUUAUUUUAAUAGAUCGAAUAGUGCUUGCGGAAACAAUUGUCAAGAGGAACCAAGUUAGAGGUAAUUGAGAUCAAUUAUUAAAUGCCAAAACUUGUUGUGCAAUUAUAUAAGACUAGUAAAAAAUUGUAUGUGCUUUGCACGUCAUGUAAAUAUGUGUGCAAAGUUCAAUUCAUGGACACACGGCCUGCCCCCUUCAAACAUGGUACCUUCGCAUGUAAAGCUUCAUCGAGUUCAUCAUUGUAGCAAUUCUGUUUUGUAUAUAUGUUGCCCGAAAAAAGGGGUUCAAUUAUGUAUAUAAAGCUUUACAUGCUUAGUAUUAGUAUCUCGUACUAAGCUUACUUUGAAACUUCUUGAAAACUUCCAACUUCUCCCUGACGCGAUUAGUGCGCGCGUUGCGGACGCUCUGCCAGUGUGCACCCUGACCAGUUAUAUGCAUGAAUGGAUAACCUUAGGCAAGUGAAACUUUUCCUACAUUGAUAUAUAGUGAUGGUUCUAGAAAUCAGUGGUACGUGCAUUGGUACUCUAGCUGCAAAUCCCACAAUUUUCAGCCAUCCGAUUGACUCUACCAACGACUCACAUUGCUUUUUGGUUUUGAGAUCCAAACAUUUAAAAAUCGUACACUAUAGAGUAGUAUAGAUAUUACUUUACGGUGUCUUGUUAAACAUUGUCGCGCCUCUUGAGAAAUGCCGUCGAGUUCGUUGGCCUGUGCAAUCAAUGGAGCCAAGCAUACCUGAAAAUCUACAGGCUUUGUUCAUCUCCAAAAGUCUUUGAGUGUCCUAAGCAUUGGGUGCUCUCAAAUACUCCCUUUGUAAACUAAUAUAAAAGUGCACCCGCAAAAAAUAAAUAAUAUAAGAGUGUUUAAAUCACUAAAGUAGUGAUCUAAAUGAAGGAAAUAUGCCCUAGAGGCAAUAAUAAAGUUAUUAUUUAUUUCCUUAUAAUCAUGAUAAAUGUUUAUUAUUCAUGCUAGAAGUGUAUUUACCGGAAACAUAAUACAUGUGUGAAUACAUAGACAAACAAAGUGUCACUAGUAUGCCUCUACUUAACUAGCUCGUUAAUCAAAGAUGGUUAUGUUUCCUAACCAUGAACAAUGAGUUGUUAUUUGAUUAACGAGGUCACAUCAUUAGCAGAAUGAUCUGAUUGACAUGACCCAUUCCAUUAGCUUAGCACCCGAUCGUUUAGUAUGUUGCUAUUGCUUUCUUCAUGACUUAUACAUGUUCCUAUGACUAUGAGAUUAUGCAACUCCCGUUUACCGGAGGAACACUUUGGGUACUACCAAACGUCACAACGUAACUGGGUGAUUAUAAAGGAGUACUACAGGUGUCUCCAAUGGUCGAUGUUGGGUUGGCGUAUUUCGAGAUUAGGAUUUGUCACUCCGAUUGUCGGAGAGGUAUCUCUGGGCCCUCUCGGUAAUACACAUCACAUAAGCCUUGCAAGCAUUACAACUAAUAUGUUAGUUGUGAGAUGAUGUAUUACGGAACGAGUAAAGAGACUUGCCGGUAACGAGAUUGAACUAGGUAUUGGACACCGACGAUCGAAUCUCGGGCAAGUAACAUACCGAUGACAAAGGGAACAACAUAUGUUGUUAUGCGGUCUGACCGAUAAAGAUCUUCGUAGAAUAUGUAGGAUCCAAUCUGGGCAUCCAGGUCCCGCUAUUGGUUAUUGACUAGAGACGUGUCUCGGUCAUGUCUACAUUGUUCUCGAACCCGUAGGGUCCGCACGCUUAAGGUUACGAUGACAGUUAUAUUAUGAGUUUAUGCAUUUUGAUGUACCGAAGGUUGUUCGGAGUCCCGGAUGUGAUCACGGACAUGACGAGGAGUCUCGAAAUGGUCGAGACGUAAAGAUUGAUAUAUUGGAAGCCUAUAUUUGGAUAUCGGAAGUGUUCCGGGUGAAAUCGGGAUUUUACCGGAAUACCGGGAGGGUUACCGGAACCCCCCGGGAGCUAUUUGGGCCAUAGUGGGCCUUAGUGGAAAAGAGAAGGGGCUGCCCUAGAUGGGCUGCGCGCCCCCCCUUCCCCUAGUCCUAUUAGGACUAGGAGAGGUGGCCGGCCCCCUCCUCCUCUUUUCCCCUCCGAGGGAUCCUAGUUGGACUAGGAUUGGAGGGGGAAUCCUACUCCCAGAGGGAGUAGGACUCUCCUGCGCCUCCCCCCCUUGGCCGGCCAGCCUCCCCUCCUCUCCUCCUUUAUAUACGGAGGCAGGGGCACCUCUAAACACACAAGUGGACACAAGUUGAUCCACGUGAUCUAUUCCUUAGCCGUGUGCGGUGCCCCCUGCCACCAUAUUCCUCGAUAAUACUGUAGCGGAGUUUAGGCGAAGCCCUGCUGCUGUAGUUCAUCAAGAUCGUCACCACGCCGUCGUGCUGACGAAACUCUUCCCCGACACUUUGCUGGAUCGGAGUCCGGGGAUCGUCAUCGAGCUGAACGUGUGCUCGAACUCGGAGGUGCCGUAGUUUCGGUGCUUGAUCGGUUGGAUCGAGAAGACGUACGACUACUUCCUCUACGUCGUGUCAUCGCUUCCGCAGUCGGUCUGCGUUGGGUACGUAGACAAUACUCUCCCCUCGUUGCUAUGCAUCACAUGAUCUUGCGUGUGCGUAGGAAUUUUUUUGAAAUUACUACGAAACCCAAUAGUGGCAUCCGAGCCUAGGUUAUUUAUGUUGAUGUUAUAUGCACGAGUAGAACACAAGUGAGUUGUGGACGAUACAAGUCAUACUGCCUACCAGCAUGUCAUACUUUGGUUCGGCGGUAUUGUUGGACGAGACGACUCGGACCAACCUUACGCGUACGCUUACGCGAGACCGGUUCCCUCGACGUGCUUUGCACAGAGAUGGCUUGCGGGCGACUGUCUCUCCAACUUUAGUUGAACCAAGUAUGGCUACGCCCGGUCCUUGCGAAGGUUAAAACGGAGUCUAUUUGACAAACUAUCGUUGUGGUUUUGAUGCAUAGGUGAGAUUGGUUCUUACUUAAGCCCGUAGCAGCCACGUAAAACAUGCAACAACAAAGUAGAGGACGUCUAACUUGUUUUUGCAGGGCAUGUUGUGAUGUGAUAUGGUCAAGGCAUGAUGCUGAAUUUUAUUGUAUGAGAUGAUCAUGUUUUGUAACCAAGUUAUCGGCAACUGGCAGGAGCCAUAUGGUUGUCGCUUUAUUGUAUGCAAUGCAAUCGCGAUGUAAUGCUUUACUUUAUUACUAAACGGUAGUGAUAGUCGUGGAAGCAUAAGAUUGGCGAGAUGACAACGAUGCUACGAUGGAGAUCAAGGUGUCGCGCCGGUGUCGAUGGUGAUCAUGACGGUGCUUCGGAGAUGGAGAUCACAAGCACAAGAUGAUGAUGACCAUAUCAUAUCACUUAUAUUGAUUGCAUGUGAUGUUUAUCUUUUUAUGCAUCUUAUCUUGCUUUGAUUGAUGGUAGCAUUAUAAGAUGAUCUCUCACUAAAUUAUCAAGAAGUGUUCUCCCUGAGUAUGCACCGUUGCCAAAGUUCGUCGUGCCCAGACACCACGUGAUGAUCGGGUGUGAUAAGCUCUACGUCCAUCUACAACGGGUGCAAGCCAGUUUUUGCACACGUAGAAUACUCAGGUUAAACUUGACGAGCCUAGCAUAUGCAGAUAUGGCCUCGGAACACGGAGACCGAAAGGUCGAGCGUGAAUCAUAUAGUAGAUAUGAUCAACAUAACGAUGUUCACCAUUGAAAACUACUCCAUCUCACGUGAUGAUCGGUCAUGGUUUAGUUGAUUUGGAUCACGUAAUCACUUAGAGGAUUAGAGGGAUGUCUAUCUAAGUGGGAGUUCUUAAAUAAUAUGAUUAAUUGAACUUAAAUUUAUCAUGAACUUAGUACCUGAUAGUAUCUUGCUUGUUUAUGUUGAUUGUAGAUAGAUGGCUCGUGCUGUUGUUCCGUUGAAUUUUAAUGCGUUCCUUGAGAAAGCAAAGUUGAAAGAUGAUGGUAGCAAUUACACGGACUGGGUCCGUAACUUGAGGAUUAUCCUCAUUGCUGCACAGAAAAAUUACGUCCUGGAAGCACCGCUGGGUGCCAGGCCUGCUGCUGGAGCAACACCAGAUGUUAUGAACGUCUGGCAGAGCAAAGCUGAUGACUACUCGAUAGUUCAGUGUGCCAUGCUUUACGGCUUAGAAGCGGGACUUCAACGACGUUUUGAACGUCAUGGAGCAUAUGAGAUGUUCCAGGAGUUGAAGUUAAUAUUUCAAGCAAAUGCCCGAAUUGAGAGAUAUGAAGUCUCCAAUAAGUUCUAUAGCUGCAAGAUGGAGGAGAAUAGUUCUGUCAGUGAGCAUAUACUCAAAAUGUCUGGGUAUAAUAAUCACUUGAUUCAAUUGGGAGUUAAUCUUCCGGAUGAUUGCGUCAUUGACAGAAUUCUCCAAUCACUGCCACCAAGCUACAAGAGCUUCGUGAUGAACUAUAAUAUGCAAGGGAUGAACAAGACUAUUCCCGAGCUCUUCGCAAUGCUGAAAGCUGCGGAAGUAGAAAUCAAAAAGGAGCAUCAAGUAUUGAUGGUUAACAAAACAACUAGUUUCAAGAAAAAGGGCAAAGGAAAGAAGAAAGGGAAUUUCAAGAAGAACAGCAAGCCAGUUGCUGCUCAAGAGAAGAAACCCAAGUCUGGACCUAAGCCUGAAACUGAGUGCUUCUACUGCAAGUAGACUGGUCACUGGAAGCGGAACUGUCCCAAGUAUUUGGCGGAUAAGAAGGAUGGCAAGGUGAACAAAGGUAUAUGUGAUAUACAUGUUAUUGAUGUGUACCUUACUAGAGCUCGCAGUAGCACCUGGGUAUUUGAUACUGGUUCUGUUGCUAAUAUUUGCAACUCGAAUCAGGGACUACAGAAUAAGCGGGCACUGGCAAAGGACGAGGUGACGAUGCGCGUGGGAAACGGUUCCAAAGUCGAUGUGAUCGCAGUCGGCACGCUACCUCUACAUCUACCUUCGGGAUUAAUAUUAGACCUAAGUAAUUGUUAUUUGGUGCCAGCGUUGAGCAUGAACAUUAUAUCUGGAUCUUGUUUAAUGCGAGACGGUUAUUCAUUUAAAUCAGAGAAUAAUGGUUGUUCUAUUUAUAUGAGUAAUAUCUUUUAUGGUCAUGCACCCUUGAAGAGUGGUCUAUUCUUAUUGAAUCUCGAUAGUAGUAAUACACAUAUUCAUAAUGUUGAAGCCAAAAGAUGCAGAGUUGAUAAUGAAAGUGCAACUUAUUUGUGGCACUGUCGUUUAGGUCAUAUCGGUAUAAAGCGCAUGAAGAAACUCCAUGCUGAUGGACUUUUGGAACCACUUGAUUAUGAAUCACUUGGUACUUGCGAACCGUGCCUUAUGGGCAAGAUGACUAAAACACCGUUCUCCGGUACUAUGGAGAGAGCAACAGAUUUGUUGGAAAUCAUACAUACCGAUGUAUGUGGCCCGAUGAAUAUUGAGGCUCGUGGCGGAUAUCGUUAUUUUCUCACCUUCACAGAUGAUUUAAGCAGAUAUGGGUAUAUCUACUUAAUGAAACAUAAGUCUGAAACAUUUGAAAAGUUCAAAGAAUUUCAGAGUGAAGUUGAAAAUCAUCGUAACAAGAAAAUAAAGUUUCUACGAUCUGAUCGUGGAGGAGAAUAUUUGAGUUACGAGUUUGGUGUACAUUUGAAAAACUGUGGAAUAGUUUCGCAACUCACGCCACCUGGAACACCACAGCGUAAUGGUGUGUCCGAACGUCGUAAUCGUACUUUACUAGAUAUGGUGCGAUCUAUGAUGUCUCUUACUGAUUUACCGCUAUCAUUUUGGGGAUAUGCUUUAGAGACGGCCGCAUUCAUGUUAAAUAGGGCACCAUCAAAAUCCGUUGAGACGACGCCUUAUGAACUGUGGUUUGGCAAGAAACCAAAGUUGUCGUUUCUUAAAGUUUGGGGCUGCGAUGCUUAUGUGAAAAAGCUUCAACCUGAUAAGCUCGAACCCAAAUCGGAGAAAUGUGUCUUCAUAGGAUACCCAAAGGAAACUGUUGGGUACACCUUCUAUCACAGAUCCGAAGGCAAGACAUUCGUUGCUAAGAAUGGAUCAUUUCUAGAGAAGGAGUUUCUCUCGAAAGAAGUGAGUGGGAGGAAAGUAGAACUUGACGAGGUAACUGUACCUGCUCCUUUACUGGAAAGUAGUUCAUCACAGAAAACUGUUUCAGUGACACCUACACCAGUUAGUGAGGAAGCCAAUGAUAAUGAUCAUGAAACUUCAAAUCAAGAUACUACUGAACCUCGUAGAUCAACCAGAGUAAGAUCCGCACCAGAGUGGUACGGUAAUCCUGUUCUGGAGGUCAUGCUACUAGAUCAUGAUGAACCUACGAACUAUGAAGAAGCGAUGGUGAGCCCAGAUUCCGCAAAGUGGCUUGAAGCCAUGAAAUCUGAGAUGGGAUCCAUGUAUGAGAACAAAGUAUGGACUUUGGUUGACUUGCCCGAUGAUCGGCAAGCAAUUGAGAAUAAAUGGAUCUUUAAGAAGAAGACUGACGCUGAUGGUAAUGUUACUGUCUACAAAGCUCGACUUGUCGCAAAAGGUUUUCGGCAAGUUCAAGGGAUUGACUACGAUGAGACCUUCUCACCCGUAGCGAUGCUUAAGUCCGUCCGAAUCAUGUUAGCAAUUGCCGCAUUUUAUGAUUAUGAAAUUUGGCAGAUGGAUGUCAAAACUGCAUUCCUGAAUGGGUUUCUGGAAGAAGAGUUGUAUAUGAUGCAACCAGAAGGUUUUGUCGAUCCAAAGGGAACUAACAAAGUGUGCAAGCUCCAGCGAUCCAUUUAUGGACUGGUGCAAGCCUCUCGGAGUUGGAAUAAACGUUUUGAUAGUGUGAUCAAAGCAUUUGGUUUUAUACAGACUUUCGGAGAAGCCUGUAUUUACAAGAAAGUGAGUGGGAGCUCUGUAGCAUUUCUGAUAUUAUAUGUGGAUGACAUAUUACUAAUUGGAAAUGAUAUAGAAUUUCUGGAUAGCAUAAAGGGAUACUUGAAUAAAAGUUUUUCAAUGAAAGACCUCGGUGACGCUGCUUACAUAUUAGGCAUUAAGAUCUAUAGAGAUAGAUUAAGACGCUUAAUUGGACUUUCACAAAGCACAUACCUUGACAAAAUUUUGAAGAAAUUCAAAAUGGAUCAAGCAAAGAAAGGAUUCUUGCCUGUAUUACAAGGUGUGAAGUUGAGUAAGACUCAAUGCCCGAUCACUGCAGAAGAUAGAGAGAAUAUGAAAGAUGUUCCCUAUGCAUCAGCCAUAGGCUCUAUCAUGUAUGCAAUGCUGUGUACCAGACCUGAUGUGUGCCUUGCUAUAAGUUUAGCAGGGAGGUACCAAAGUAAUCCAGGAGUGGAUCACUGGACAGCGGUCAAGAACAUCCUGAAAUACCUGAAAAGGACUAAGGAUAUGUUUCUCGUAUAUGGAGGUGACAAAGAGCUCACCGUAAAAGGUUACGUUGAUGCAAGCUUUGACACUGAUCCGGACGAUUCUAAAUCGCAAACCGGAUACGUGUUUACAUUAAACGGUGGAGCUGUCAGUUGGUGCAGUUCUAAACAAAGCGUUGUAGAGGGAUCUACAUGUGAAGCGGAAUACAUAGCUGCUUCGGAAGCAGCAAAUGAAGGAGUCUGGAUGAAGGAGUUCAUAUCCGAUCUAGGUGUCAUACCUAGUGCAUCGGGUCCAAUGAAAAUCUUUUGUGACAAUACUGGUGCAAUUGCCUUGGCAAAGGAAUCCAGAUUUCACAAAAGGACCAAACACAUCAAGAGACGCUUCAACUCCAUCCGGGAUCUAGUCCAGGUGGGAGACAUAGAGAUUUGCAAGAUACAUACGGAUCUGAAUGUUGCAGACCCAUUGACUAAACCUCUUCCACGAGCAAAACAUGAUCAGCACCAAGGCUCCAUGGGUGUUAGAAUCAUUACAGUGUAAUCUAGAUUAUUGACUCUAGUGCAAGUGGGAGACUGAAGGAAAUAUGCCCUAGAGGCAAUAAUAAAGUUAUUAUUUAUUUCCUUAUAAUCAUGAUAAAUGUUUAUUAUUCAUGCUAGAAGUGUAUUUACCGGAAACAUAAUACAUGUGUGAAUACAUAGACAAACAAAGUGUCACUAGUAUGCCUCUACUUAACUAGCUCGUUAAUCAAAGAUGGUUAUGUUUCCUAACCAUGAACAAUGAGUUGUUAUUUGAUUAACGAGGUCACAUCAUUAGCAGAAUGAUCUGAUUGACAUGACCCAUUCCAUUAGCUUAGCACCCGAUCGUUUAGUAUGUUGCUAUUGCUUUCUUCAUGACUUAUACAUGUUCCUAUGACUAUGAGAUUAUGCAACUCCCGUUUACCGGAGGAACACUUUGGGUACUACCAAACGUCACAACGUAACUGGGUGAUUAUAAAGGAGUACUAUAGGUGUCUCCAAUGGUCGAUGUUGGGUUGGCGUAUUUCGAGAUUAGGAUUUGUCACUCCGAUUGUCGGAGAGGUAUCUCUGGGCCCUCUCGGUAAUACACAUCACAUAAGCCUUGCAAGCAUUACAACUAAUAUGUUAGUUGUGAGAUGAUGUAUUACGGAACGAGUAAAGAGACUUGCCGGUAACGAGAUUGAACUAGGUAUUGGAUACCGACGAUCGAAUCUCGGGCAAGUAACAUACCGAUGACAAAGGGAACAACGUAUGUUGUUAUGCGGUCUGACCGAUAAAGAUCUUCAUAGAAUAUGUAGGAGCCAAUAUGGGCAUCCAGGUCCCGCUAUUGGUUAUUGACCAGAGACGUGUCUCGGUCAUGUCUACAUUGUUCUCGAACCCGUAGGGUCCGCACGCUUAAGGUUACGAUGACAGUUAUAUUAUGAGUUUAUGCAGUUUGAUGUACCGAAGGUUGUUCGGAGUCCCGGAUGUGAUCACGGACAUGACGAGGAGUCUCGAAAUGGUCGAGACGUAAAGAUUGAUAUAUUGGAAGCCUAUAUUUGGAUAUCGGAAGUGUUCCGGGUGAAAUCGGGAUUUUACCGGAAUACCGGGAGGGUUACCGGAACCCCCCGGGAGCUAUUUGGGCCAUAGUGGGCCUUAGUGGAAAAGAGAAGGGGCUGCCCUAGAUGGGCUGCGCCCCCCUUCCCCUAGUCCUAUUAGGACUAGGAGAGGUGGCCGGCCCCCUCCUCCUCUUUUCCCCUCCGAGGAAUCCUAGUUGGACUAGUAUUGGAGGGGGAAUCCUACUCCCAGAGGGAGUAGGACUCUCCUGCGCCUCCCCCCCUUGGCCGGCCAGCCUCCCCUCCUCUCCUCCUUUAUAUACGGAGGCAGGGGCACCUCUAAACACACAAGUGGACACAAGUUGAUCCACGUGAUCUAUUCCUUAGCCGUGUGCGGUGCCCCCUGCCACCAUAUUCCUCGAUAAUACUGUAGCGGAGUUUAGGCGAAGCCCUGCUGCUGUAGUUCAUCAAGAUCGUCACCACGCCGUCGUGCUGACGAAACUCUUCCCCGACACUUUGCUGGAUCGGAGUCCGGGGAUCGUCAUCGAGCUGAACGUGUGCUCGAACUCGGAGGUGCCGUAGUUUCGGUGCUUGAUCGGUUGGAUCGAGAAGACGUACGACUACUUCCUCUACGUCGUGUCAUCGCUUCCGCAGUCGGUCUGCGUUGGGUACGUAGACAAUACUCUCCCCUCGUUGCUAUGCAUCACAUGAUCUUGCGUGUGCGUACGAAUUUUUUUGAAAUUACUACGAAACCCUACACUAAACGCUUUUAUAUUAGCUUACAGAGGGAGUACUAUGGUUCGAACACUUCAACCAUCGCCUUUGCAAAUUACUUGACAAACAAGACUGAAGGGUUCUCUCCCAUCGCCAAGCGAUCAUCAAUGAAAUCUAUUGAAACACCAUAUGCGAUCAUGUGCAAUGCGGCAGUCACCUUCUAGAUAGUGCUAUGUGCAAUAUCUCCAACACAAAUUUUUGCUCGAAGAACCGAUCAUAUUGUUCACACACUUGGCAACAUGAAGGAACUGUAAAACUAGAUGGAAGCGUUGAACCCUUUGCUCGGGCCGCGGUUGUAUAUAUAUGAUGUGUGCCGUGGCUUACAAGAAUAGAUCGAGAGGAGAUCGAUCGUGAUUGUUAUAGGAGGUUUGAGGAGAUAGAACAGAAGAAGAGAUAGAAGUUAAACACCUUUCCUAUCUCUAUACAAUAUUUUCUAACACCCCCCCCCCCUCAAUCUAAACCUCAAGAAACUUUCGCAAGGUUAAGAUUGUACUUGAACUCAUCCAACCUCCUCAUAGUGAGAGUGAAAUGAUCAAUAUAGUUGACUAGAGGGGGGGGGGGUGAAUAGGCAACUAACAAUUUUUGCUUUUCUUUACCAAUUUAAACUUUGCAUCAAAGUAGGUUGUGUAGAUAUGCAACUAGAUGAGCAACCUAUAUGAUGCAACAAGAACAAGUACACAAGCAAGCAAGGGAUAUAACACAAAUAAGCUUGCACAAGUAAAGGCACGAGAUAACCAAGAGUGGAGCCGGUGAAGACGAGGAUGUGUUAUCGAAGUUCCUUCCUUUUGAGGGGAAGUACGUCUCCGUUGGAGUGGUGUGGAGGCAAAAUGCUCCCCAAGAAGUCACUAGGGCCACCGUAUUCUCCUCAUGCCUUCACACAAUGCGAGAUGCCGUGAUUCCACUAUUGGUGCCCUUGGAGGCGGCGACCGGACCUUUAGAAACAAGCUUGGGGCUAUCUCCACAACUUAAUUGGAGGCUCCCAACGAUACCACAAAGCUUCACCACAAUGGAAUAUGGCUCCGCAGUGACCUCAACCGUCUAGGGUGCUCAAACACCCAAAAGUAACAAGAUCCGCAAGGGAUGAGUGGGGGAAUCAAAUUUCUCUUGGUGGAAGUGUAGAUCUAGGCCUUCUCAACCAAUCCCUAGAGAAUUAACAAGUUUGAUUGGCUAGGGAGAGAGAUCGGGCGAAAAUGGAGCUUGGAGCAAUAAUGGAGCUUGGGGAUAGAAGAGAUAGUCAACUUGUAGAAGAAGACACCCCUUAUAUAGUGGAAGAACAAAUCCAAUCGUUAUCCACCAACUCAGCCUGCGUGGCACGGUACUACUGCGCCGGGGACGUGGUACUACCGCAGUGCCCCGCGGUACUACCGCCCGAGCAGCAGAAUCCAUAACAACCCUGAAGCUGUGAGGCAGAGGGCUGUAGAACCGCUGGCGCGGUACUACUGCUCCCCCUUGCGGUACUACCACAAGACAGGGAUGAUCCAUAUUUUGGGAAGGCACGGACAUAUAAAAAAACAUCCGUGGCAACUUCCAUUGAGAUGGGAUCUAUGCAAAAAUCCGACAUGAGAGUACCGCAAGCCAGGAACGGUACUACCGCGCGGGGUGCGGAUGUAAAAAAUUACAUCUGCUCCUACUGCCGCCCCAGCGGCUGCUCCUGGCCAGAGCACACGGUACUACCGCGCACCUGGUGCGGUACUACCGCGUAAGGCGUGGAUGUAAAAAAUUACAUCCGUCCCUACUACCGCAAAAACAUCAGCGCCUGGCCUGAGGGCACAGUACUACCGCUCCAAGGAAGCGGCACUACCGUGGGCACUCACGGUACUACCGCGCCAGAGGCCGGUACUACCGCAAGGGCCUGCGGUACUACCGCUCCUAGGAGCAGUACUACCGCAUGCCUGAGAUCAGCAAACACGACAUUUUUGCAUAGACAAGAAAAGACGGAGGAUGCUCCAAAAGGGCCAAAGGAAAGGCGGUGCAAAGGAGAAGACGUGUACGUGAUGAUUCCACCCAAACCUUUCCAAAGCGGAUCCCCUCUUAAUAGUAUGGCUUUCCUACAACUCAAAUCCACUGAAAAGAAACAUAGAGAAACGCCGUCUUCAAUAGUCUUUGAGGGGCACCAAAUCGUCUUGUGCCUAGUGAUAAAGUGUCUGAAAUAGUCAAUGCACACGAUUAGUCCGUGAUGGGGUUAUGUACCUAGGGUAGGGUCAUGGACCUGAUCCAAGUAACUUACCCCAGGACAUCCUUAGAAGAGGAUUCACUCGACUGGUCUGAAGGACUCGACCACGAAGACUCACUCGACCACCAGGAGGUCAAGAGGCACUCUGCACUGCAACGGCCUGUAAUCAAGUAGACUUUAUGAUAGUAAAGGCCUUUAUGUGGGGCGUUACCAGUAACGCCCCAGACUUAACUCACCUUAAACCCUCUCCUACGUGGGCUGGCUGGGGUCCUGGCGCACUCUAUAUAAGCCACCCCCCUCCACAGGCAGAGGGGUUCGGCACCUUGUAAUUCACACAUUCAUAAUCCACUCGACCGCCUCCGGGCUCCGAGACGUAGGGCUGUUACUUCUUCCGAGAAGGGCCUGAACUCGUACAUCCUUUGUGCUUACAACCUCUCCAUAGCUAGGACCUUGCCUCUCCAUACCUACCCCCACUCUACUGUCAGGCUUAGAACCACGACAGUUGGCGCCCACCUUGGGGCAGGUGUUUUAGCGAUUCUGUGGAGAAGUUGCGAUUCUUCCGAGUACUCUCAUCAUGGUGUCUGCUGGAGUUUUGGUCAAGGGUCAAGAGAUCCGUCUCGGCACCCUCACCUUCGUCGCCGACGACUCCGCAUGGCUCCAGGAGGCUCCACUCGACGUAGACGCGCUCCCCGUCCGCGGUGCGACGCAUUUUCGCGCAUGUGUCCGCGGCGUUCUGCUACGGCAACCGUCGACCCAGUAUCGGUCGGCUCCUCCAUCGUCCACCCUCCCGGUCUCCCGCCAGCGCAAGCGCUCGGGCCGGUCGAGGCUUCAGCGAUGGGUGAGUCACGCGGUGGCUCGCCAAUCGGCCACUACACAAGUUGCGGCAAUCGAGCCCAACGAAUCUCUCUACGGCUUGUUCGAUCAGUCGACUGGCUCCGGAGAGACUGCAUCCGAGUGCGGAAGCAGUGAUCCAGCAGCGGAAAUCUUGAUGGUCGACGGGCCCCACAGCCCUCCUGGCUUCGCCCGUGGUGGUGGAGCAGGUGACGGCGGCGACCCUGCACGAGACUACGAAGAGUACCAGCCCGAGCCACUCGACUCUCUGCAAAGAGAAGAGCUUCGCCGCAGGAACGAGGAUCCCCUGCGUAUUCCCAUCGCAGGAGAAACCCCCGAGGCUCGUGCCUUGGAGGAGGCGCGUCUGGCCAAUUUGGCCGAGCGCACUCGACUGGAGAACCUUCAGCGAGCACUCGACGAGCGCGCGCGGCAACGAGUUCCCGACACCAGUCGACGUCAACUCUUCCCGCCGACUCAGGUAUAUCGAACCCCGAUUCAGAAUUUAGCAGCUGCGACCCGUAUAGCAGAGUCCAUUCAGCCUUCGCAGUCGGAAGCUGGCAGAGGUUUGCUGUAGAUCAGGGAUCUGCUCCGGGCAGCAGGAGAUCAGAAUUCAGCCGUGUCUCAGUCGCGCAACAGAAUUCACAGUCGAUCUGUCACUGUGAAUACGGUUCAGUCGGCUCACAGCCCCAGAUCGCCUCCGCGGCGCGAAGGGCGUGAGAAUCGGCGAGAUCAAUAUGGCGACAGACUCGACCGAGAUAAUAGGCGUCGAGUACCCUAUUCCCCUCCGAGGGGUGGGUCUUACGCUCCUCGGCACCCAGAUGAUAGGCGUCAGUACAGUACAGGGCGUAGGGUUCCAGUUGACCCCAGAGAGCCAGGCUUCGACGCGCGAUCCAUUAUCGUGCAAGGGUUGGUCGACCGGAACAGAGCCCAUCGAGGCGCACUCGACAGAGAUGUACCCACGAGCAGUCGAGUACAUGUUUCUGGUCCUGAAUGUUUCAGUAGAGCUAUCAGAGCCGCAGUUAUCCCCCCCAAUUUCAGGUUGGCAACAGGAGUCAGCAAGUUCACUGGUGAGUCUAAGCCUGAAACUUGGCUCGAAGACUACCGAGUGGCAGUUCAGAUCGGUGGUGGGAACGACGAGGUGGCCAUGAAGCAUUUGCCCCUCAUGUUGGAAGGUUCUGCCAGGGCAUGGUUGACUCAAUUACCUCCUAGCAGCAUUUACACUUGGGAAGAUCUGUCCCGAGUGUUCGUCAGAACGUUUGAAGGGACUUGCAAGCGACCAGCGGGAUUGACAGAGUUGCAAGUCUGCGUGCAGAAAACUAAUGAGACUCUCAGAGAGUAUAUUCAGAGGUGGAUCACUUUGCAUCACACUGUGGAAAAUGUCUCUGAUCAUCAGGCAGUAUGCGCCUUCAAAGACGGCGUCAAGAACAGAGAACUGAGUUUGAAAUUUGGUCGAACCGGUGACAUGACCUUGAGUCGGAUGAUGGAGAUUGCUACCAAGUACGCCAACGGCGAAGAAGAAGACCGACUCCGAAGCGGCAAGCACAAGCCAAGUCAGUCGGAAAAAGGAAACACCAGUCGGAAACAGAAGCGGAAGGCUGAACCGGCAGCUCCUGGAGAGGCUCUGGCCGUGACUCAAGGAAAGUUUAAGGGGAAACCAAAAGGAUCCUGGAACCCCAAGAAGGUAAAGGAUAAAGAAGGGAAUGACGUGAUGGAUAUGCCAUGUCACAUUCACACGAAGAAAGAUGAAGAGGGGAAUAUCAUUUACCCAAAGCACACCACUCGCCAAUGUCGACUCCUGAUCCAGCAGUUUCAGGGAAAACAGUCUAAGGACAAGGAGAAGGAGUCGGACAAGGCCGAAGACAAAGAGGACAGUGAGGGAGGAUAUCCGCAUAUCAACUCCACUCUGAUGAUCUUUGCAGAUGUGGAAAGCAGAAGUCGACUGAAAGUGAUUAACCGAGAGGUGAACAUGGUUGCCCCAGCAAAGGCAAAUUAUCUGAAGUGGUCUCAAACACCCAUCACAUUCGACCAAUCAGAUCACCCGACUCAUAUUGCCACCCCGGGAGGCAAGCUUUGGUGGUCGAUCCAGUUGUCGAAGGCACUCGACUGACAAAGGUGCUGAUGGAUGGUGGAAGUGGGCUGAACUUAUUAUAUGCAGACACAUUGAAAGGUAUGGGCAUUCCGAUGUCCCGACUGAGCACUAGUAACAUGAGCUUCCAUGGAGUUAUACCAGGGAAGAAGGCUGAGUCACUCGGCCAGAUAGCUUUGGACGUAGUGUUUGGUGAUUCGAAGCAUUUUCGCAAAGAAAAGUUGACGUUUGAGGUCGUGGAUUUUCAAAGUGCAUAUCAUGCCAUUUUGGGGAGACCAGCCUAUGCACGGUUCAUGGCUCGACCAUGUUACGUGUACCUCAAACUGAAGAUGCCCGGUCCCAAAGGUGUGAUCACUGUCAUCGGUGAUAGGAAAAAGGCAGAGGAGUGCUUUCAGAAGGGCUCCAAGAUUGCCGAUUCCCAAGUGACAGCGGUCGAGUUCGAAGAAUACAAGCAAAACGCAGAUCCGAGUGACUUGCUGCGAUCCAAGAAGCCCGCCACAGAGUCUGCAUUCCAGUCGUCCGGUGAGACGAAGCCUGUUCACAUUCACCCGACCGACCCCGAAGCAGCUCCGACCCGCAUCUCCACAACACUCGACCCAAAAUAGGAAGAAGCGCUCAUCCAGUUCCUCCGUGAGAACUGGGACAUUUUUGCAUGGAAGCCCGCUGAUAUGCCAGGUGUUCCCAGGGGACUGGCUGAGCAUCGCCUAAGAGUCGACUCGUCUGCAAAGCCAGUCAAAGAGCAUCUUCGGCGGUCCGCCGUCCAGAAGAGAAAGGCCAUUGGUGAAGAAGUGGCUCGACUGUUGGCGGCAGGAUUUAUCCGAGAGAUCUACCACUCCGAGUGGCUCGCUAAUGUCGUCAUGGUUCCUAAGAAGGACAAGUCGCUCCGAAUGUGCAUUGAUUUCAAGCACAUCAACCGGGCCUGCCCAAAAGAUCACUUUCCUCUCCCUCGCAUAGAUCAAAUUGUUGACUCGACCGCGGGAUGCGAGAGGUUGUCUUUUUUAGAUGCUUACUCCGGGUACCACCAGAUCCGUCUGUACGGGCCCGAUGAGGUAAAAACAGCUUUCAUCACUCCAUUCGGGUGCUUCUGCUAUAUCACCAUGCCAUUCGGCCUCAAGAAUGCCGGAGCCACAUUUAUGCGAAUGAUUCAGAAGUGUCUACUCACCCAAAUCAGUCGGAAUGUGGAAGCUUAUAUGGAUGAUAUUGUUGUCAAGUCACGAAAAGGUUCCGACCUGCUCGCUGACCUCGCCGAAACAUUUGCCAACCUCAGAAGGUAUGAUAUCAAGCUCAAUCCAUCAAAGUGCACAUUUGGAGUUCCUGGUGGCAAGUUACUCGGUUUUCUCGUUUCCGAACGGGGAAUCGACGCUAACCCAGAGAAGAUUGGCACUAUUCUCCGAAUGAAACGCCCUGUGCGAGUGCACGAUGUCCAGAAGCUUACUGGAUGCUUGGCCGCAUUAAGUUGAUUCAUCUCACGACUCGGUGAAAAGGCACUGCCUCUUUAUCGACUGAUGAAGAAGGCUGACAAGUUCGAGUGGACUCCAGAAGCUGAUGCAGCGUUUGCCGAGCUAAAAGCUCUGCUCUCCACCCAGCCGGUGCUUGCUGCUCCAAUCAGCAAAGAGCCUCUGUUGCUCUACAUCGCAGCCACAGGACAAGUUGUCAGUACUGUGCUAACGGUCGAGCGGGAAGAAGAAGGAAAAGCUCUCAAAGUUCAGCGCCCAGUGUAUUAUUUGUCUGAAGUCUUGACUCCAUCCAAGCAGAGAUAUCUUCAUUAUCAGAAGCUUGUGUAUGGAAUAUACAUGACCACAAAGAAGGUUGCUCAUUAUUUCUCUGACCAUUCCAUCACAGUCGUCAGCGACGCUCCACUAUCAGAGAUUUUGCACAAUAGAGACGCAACUGGUCGAGUGGCCAAAUGGGUGAUUGAACUUCUUCCCCUUGAUAUCAAGUUUGAGGCAAAGAAAGCCAUUAAGUCCCAGGCGAUAGCAGAUUUCCUCGCCGAGUGGAUUGAACAACAGCAGCCGACUGAAGUUCACUCGGAGCAUUGGACCAUGUUUUUCGAUGGCUCUAAGAUGUUGAAUGGUUCCGGUGCUGGGGUUGUCCUGGUUUCCCCCAGAGGAGAUAAGCUCAGAUAUGUGCUCCAGAUUCACUUUGAUUCCUCCAACAAUGAGGCAGAAUAUGAGGCCCUCCUAUAUGGGUUGCGCAUGGCCAUUUCACUCGGCGUCCGUCGCCUAAUGGUCUAUGGCGACUCGGAUUUAGUGGUCAAUCAGGUGAUGAAAGAGUGGAACGUGAGAAGCCCAGCCAUGACUGGAUACUGCAGUGCAGUGAGGAAGCUGGAGAAGAAGUUCGAGGGGUUGGAGCUCCAUCAUAUACCCCGACUGAAAAAUCAAGCAGCUGAUGAUCUAGCAAAGAUAGGUUCCAAGAGAGAAGCCAUUCCGAGUGGUGUGUUCUUGGAGCAUAUACACACUCCGUCAGUCAAAGAAGAUCCUUUCACCGAAGAAACUCCGCAGCCCAAGGGCGCCACAGAUCCGACUGAAGUUGAAAUCCCAGCGGUGGUCGACUUGAUCAUGGAGGUUUUGGUGGUCAUUCCCGACUGGACGAUUCCGUAUGUCGCAUAUAUCUUGAGGAAAGAACUUCCGGAGGAUGAGGAAGAGGCUCGACAGAUCGUCCGUCGAUCUAAGGCCUUUACCGUAAUCAAAGGACAAUUAUACAGAGAAAGCGCGACUGGAGUCGGUUAGAAGUGCAUAACAUCAGAAGAAGGUCGACUCAUCCUCAAUGAUAUUCACUCGGGAACCUGUGGUCAUCACGCGUCCUCUCGGACCAUCGUGGCCAAAGCAUACCGAGCCGGAUUUUACUGGCCCAAGGCGAAUGAGAUGGCAAAAGAGAUAGUAGAUAAGUGCGAGGGAUGUCAGUUCUACUCGAAUAUGUCGCACAAGCCUGCGUCAGCUUUGAAGACCAUCCCGCUCGUCUGGCCUUUUGCAGUUUGGGGGCUGGACAUGAUCGGUCCUUUGAGAACAGGACGAAGUGGCUUCACGCAUUUACUGGUGGCAGUCGACAAGUUCACCAAGUGGAUCGAAGCUAAACCAAUCAAGAGCCUUGACACCGGUACUGCUGUUAGCUUCAUCAGGGAACUAAUAUUCAGAUAUGGAGUCCCGCACAGCAUCAUUACGGAUAAUGGGUCGAACUUUGACUCAGAGGAAUUCAGAGCUUUCUGCGACUCCCAGGGCACACGGGUCGACUACGCAUCAGUCGCCCAUCCGCAGUCGAAUGGACAAGCAGAGCGAGCUAAUGGACUGAUUCUCAAGGGACUGAAGCCUCGACUGAUGCGUGAUCUCAAACACGCGGCUGGAGCUUGGGUCGACGAACUUCCAUCUGUACUCUGGGGACUGCGGACCACGCCUAAUCGGUCGACCGGAAGAACUCCAUUCUUCUUGGUCUAUGGAGCUGAAGCGGUCUUGCCGAGUGAUCUUCUCCACAAUGCUCCUCGAGUUGAAAUCUACAACGAAGCAGAAGCUGAACAAGCGCGGCAGGACGCAGUCGACCUUUUAGAGGAAGAAAGGGAGAUGGCUCUGAUCCGGUCGACCAUCUACCAACAAGAUCUGCGGCGUUUCCACGCCCGAAACGUGAGAGGUCGAGCCUUCCAGGAAGGGGAUUUGGUUCUCCGAGUGGAUCAGCACAAACCACACAAGCUUGCUCCUUCUUGGGAAGGCCCCUUCAUCGUCACCAAGGUUCUCCACAACGGGGCGUACCGUCUUUACAACGUCAAGCAUAAUAUCGACGAGCCCCGAGCUUGGAACGCGGAGCUACUCCGCCCGUUUUACACUUAAGCUUUAUCACUCGGAUGAGUUGCAAUAAAAUACUUCUGUAGUUCAUGGACCUCAAAAUAAUAAGCGUCAUAGUUCCUCCAUAAUAUCUGUCACUUUUUAUUUUUUGUCCAAUGAAAUUCCCCUCAGUGGGUGACUUAGCUGCGAAUCCGUUUCGCCUAAGUUUGUAAAAAUCCUACCGAGUGGUGAGCCAGACUCCCACUCGGAGGCUUAGCCGCGAAUCCGUUUCGCCUAAGUUAUCAAAAUCCUACCGAGUGGUGAGCCAGACUCCCACUCGGAGGCUUAGCUGCAGCCUCGUGCUCGCCUAAGUUAUAAAAAUCCUACCGAGUGAAGAGCAACCCUCUCACUCGGGGGCUUAGCUGCAGUCCAAGCACUCGCCUAAGUCGUAAAAAUCCUACCGAGUGGUAAGCCAGCCUUCCACUCGGAGGCUUAGCCGCGAAUCCGUUUCGCCUAAGUUAUCAAAAUCCUACCGAGUGGUGAGCCAGACUCCCACUCGGAAGCUUAGCUGCAGCCUCGUGCUCGCCUAAGUUAUAAAAAUCCUACCGAGUGAAGAGCAACCCUCUCACUCGGGGGCUUAGCUGCAGUCCAAGCACUCGCCUAAGUCGUAAAAAUCCUACCGAGUGGUAAGCCAGCCUUCCACUCGGAGGCUUAGCUGCAGCCUCGUGCUCGCCUAAGUUAUAAAAAUCCUACCGAGUGAAGAGCAACCCUCUCACUCGGGGGCUUAGCUGCAGUCCAAGCACUCGCCUAAGUCGUAAAAAUCCUACCGAGUGGUAAGCCAGCCUUCCACUCGGAGGCUUAGCUGCAGUCCAAGCACUCGCCUAAGUUAUAAAAAUCCUACCGAGUGAAGAGCAACCCUCUCACUCGGGGGCUUAGCUGCAGCCCAGUGCUCGUCUAAGUGGACUAAAGAAUAAAUCGAUUGCAGCACAGGCACCUUGCCUUGAACCUGCAAAAGACAUUCCGAGCCGAAGGCAAUCGUAUUCAAGCACCAAAUCCAAGUUUGAAUCGACAUCUAAAGGAACCGAAAGUGCUCAGGCGUCAAGCCUGUUAAGGUUUGUCGGUUACAAUUUCACUCGGCAUACCGAGGCAAAUUUAAAGCGUCGAGCCAGAAGAAGUUUUUUACCCCUCCUGUGGAGGGCUGGAAGGUGCAACAAAUUCAUCAAGGUCAAUCCCGUCGGCGAUCCGAGUGGCAGCUGCAAGGAAAGUUUCCAUAAAGGAUCUGAAGUCGUGCUUCUUGGUAUUGGCCACCCGAAGGGCCGCCAGCUUCUCUUCUCGCGCAUCUUUGCAGUGGACUCGGGCCAGACACAGAGCGACAUCUGCACCACACCGAGCCGAGGACUUCUUCCACUCCUGCACUCGUCCAGGGAUCGUGUUCAAGCGGGCCAUCAGCGACUCAAGGUCAUUCUGAAGUGUCUCCUCAGGCCAGAGCGUCGAGUCGAUGCGAGAUGUGGCGGCCUUCAGCCUUGCGAGAUAGUCCACGACAGCUGCAACACGAGACUCCAGUCGGAAAACAUCCAUGGCAACUUCGUCGUUCACCGGAGAAUUGACGGGGUCAAGGUUUGGCUCCAGUCGGCUGGUUUCUUCUUCAAAGUUUUGACAAAAUUCUGCAAGGGUGAUCACUAAGUCAAGGAGAUAGUCGAAUGGAAAAAGCCACAAUUGGAAAUAUUUGCCAAACAUGGAGGUUUACCUUCAAGCAUAAGGAACAACUUUUUGGCAAGGCCGCUCAGGAAGGCCUCCAGUUCAGUUUUCUUCUCAGUCAAUUUGCUGACUUGGUCGGUCAGGGCAGCUUUGUCAGUUUUCAGUCGACUGACCUCCUUGUUGGCAAUCCCAAGAGCAGCUUUCAGAUUGGUAUUGUCUUGUUCGAGCUUGGUAACUGAAGCUAACUUCUCGUCAGCAAGCUUGAUCUUCUCAGCUAGCUCAAGGUCUUUCUUCUGCUGGGCCUCCCUUACCUUACCUGCAAGUUACAGCUAGAUCAGAUGCUGAAACAAGCAAGGGGAAAAGCAGUCGUCAGGGUCUCACCAAACAUACCUUCGGUCUCCUCCUUUGCCUUUGUCAGCUUCUCCUGAACCAACCUCAAGCUUAGCUCGACUUGAGUAUGUUUUUGUUCCAGCUCUGAGUAGCGAGCCACAAGAUCACAGGAGUUCUGUGAAGAACCAAUCGACUAAAUGUCAAAUAUAAUUCACUUCCGAGUGAAAAAGAGAUAAACACACGUUUCUAAGACUACAACCAAAUACAAGCAUUCGACCGUAGUCUCGGGGACUACACCCAGUGGGUGCACUCAGUGUGCCCCCACUAAUCCUGUUAAAGACAAAGUCGACCAGUCGACCUCAAAAAAAAAUGUGUGCGAGAUGCAUUCUCUAAGACUGUGAUCAACUGCAAGCAGUCGACCACAGUCUCGGGGACUACACCCAGUGGGUGCACUCAGCGUGCCCCCACCGGUUUGUGAAAUCCAGUCGACCAGUCGACUGACAGAAAGAUUGACAUUAUAAAGCCUAAGGCCGACUGCCAACAGUCGACCUUAGCCUUGGGGACUACACCCAGUGGGUGCACUCAGCGUGCCCCCACCGGUUUGUGAAAUCCAGUCGACCAGUCGAUUGACAGAAAGAUUGACAUUAUAAAGCCUAAGGCCGACUGCCAGCAGUCGACCUUAGCCUUGGGGACUACACCCAGCGGGUGCACUCAGCGUGCCCCCGCUAACACGGAGUUUAUUCGACACCCCCAGUGGGUGAUUACUAUAAAUUCCGGAAAAGAAAAGUUUUUGGUAGCAUAUCCAACAGAACAAACAGCGGUCGACUGACCUGGACAUUGAUUUGGAGGGCAGAGCUGGCGUCAUAAGCUGCCUGGCUCGCGUCCCGGAUAGUCUUCAGCUGCUCCAUCAUGAGUCCCGCCUGGCGUAUUGCCUCCUUCGCUGCGCCAGCUUGGUCCUCUGGGACGUGGUGCGUCGUGAAGAGGGAGGGCUGCUGAGCACUCGUCAGUGGAUUUGCGAAGGACACCGUGUGUCGAGUGAUGUUCUCUUCUUCCACAGUCAGAAUCUCAGGCGCCGUCACAUCCUGAGGCACCUUACUGGCGGACGCUUUUCGACUCCUCCUGCGUGCCAGUGUUUCUUCAUCCUCGUCGUCAUCAGGGAGAUUGAUAACAGUAUUGGGUGGAGCUGCGGAGAAGAAUCAGGAUCAGAGAUCGCGAGUCAGUCGACUAAGAACGAUGUUAAGAAUACAGUACCUGGGUUCGAAGUUGCUGCAUCCUCCAUCUCGUGGUCAUCAGCCCGGGCCGAGGUCUCAGAAGUAGCAGCACUGCAACUCCAAAGGAUCAGUCGACUAACUUCAGCGUCGACCAGAGAUAAAGUUCGCACAGAAUAAGAAAAUAUGAGCAGCACAAUUACCCUGAUAUAGUGGGGAUGGACACCUUCAUCUUCGGCAGGAGCUUGGUCGGCUUUGGCGGAGCCCCCCUAAGCUGCUUCGGCGCCUUUUCAGUCGGCGCUGGAGAAGUGGUCCUAGGGCGCUUGGUCGACUGCGUCGCAACCCCCUUGCCACGUUCAGUCGAAGGGUCGUGGACGAGCUUCGACCGCCUUUCCGAGCGCGGUGGCACGACCUCCUCCUCUUCCUCCUCGUCUUCGGCAUCAUCAUCAUCGCCGUCGUCAUCAUCGUCGUCGUCGUCGUCCCCUGCAACGUCCGAGUCCCAUUCCUCCUCGUCCUGGCUCUCGCCCCCACUCGCCUCACCCUCCUCAGUCGGAGUUUGUGCCCCGUUGGGCAUCGAGUACAGCUCGGUGAGGGCCUAGCAGAUAUCAAGACAAUGAUCAGUCGACCAGUCGGCAGAGUAAACAGAGAUGAAUGCGACAAGAAUGCAGUGGAGAGCAGGGCAAGUGUACCUUAUUUGGAUCACUGUUGUGGUCGAGUGGAGGAAUCCUUCUGGCUCCGCGUGGGUUGUCCUUGUUUCCGGUGACGGCUGCCAUCCAUCUUUCCAGAGUGGCAUCAUCGACUGCUUCUGGAUGGACUCUAGUCUCGUCUUCGGUCCCACAGUACAACCACAUGCAGUGGCUCCUGAACUGGAGGGGCUGGAUGCGACGCCUGAGGAAGACCUCCAGGAGAUCCAUGCCCGUCACUCCCUCCCGAACCAACUGCACCACGCGCUCCAUCAACAUCUUCACGUCAGCUUUCUCCUCCGGAAUCAGCUUCAGAGGGGAAGGCUUCGCACUCGGUCCAUGGUGAACGGAGGGAGUCCACUCGACUGCCCUAGCGUCGACUGGACCUGGCAGUAGAACCAAGUCGACUGCCAGCCUCUGACGGACUCGGGAAAGGUCAUGGGCGGGAAGGUGCUCUUAUUCCUCACCUGAAUCCCCAGGCCCCCGCACAUUUGGACGACUCGGGUUUUUUCAUCACCUGGGCUCGCCUUCUUCACGGUCUGAGAUCGACACGUGAAUAUAUGUUUGAACAAACCCCAGUGCGGUCGACAGCCCAAGAAACCCUCACACAUGGACACGAACGCGGCAAGAUAGGCAAUGGAGUUUGGGGUAAAGUGGUGGAGUUGCGCUCCGAAGAAGUUCAAAAAGCCACGAAAGAAAACACUCGGUGGCAAGGAAAACCCGCGAUCAACAUGGGUGGCCAAAAGUACACACUCACCCUCUUCUGGCUGGGGCUGCCACUCCUUCCCCGGAAGCCUCGCAGCUCCGUGGGGGAUCAAGCCCUCGUUGGCCAUGUCGAGGAUGUCGUUCUCCGUGAUAGUCGACUGGAUCCAGUCUCCUUGGACCCAGCCCUUCGGCAGGCGGGAUCUGGACGAGGACCCUCCGCGGCUGGUGGACCUUCCUUUCGCCUUCUCCGACGCCAACGCCUUCUUUGCACGCUCCAGCGCCACCGUCUUCUCCUUGGCCAUGGUCGCCGGCGAGAUGCGCGAAGGGAAGUGGUGCGGGGGCGAGAGCAAGCACGCUGAGCAGGGAGGAAGGAAGCAGAAAGAGAGAGAGGGAGAAUGCUAAGGCGCAGCACAGAAAUCCUCACCGGGCACAUUUAUAAGGUCCCUUCCGAGUGGAUGACAGGUGGGCCCGGUCGAUCUAAUCAUAUCUGGAACAGUUAUGCAGACGGGAUACGUGGCGAAAAAGGCGGCGCGGAGAUCGAGGCGUCCAUGCCCCGUCCCAUCCGAACGCCGCGGUCCGCCCCGCUUCGCGCGCGCCCCAAAAUUUCGCAUCCCGCGGAAUCCGCGAGCAACAAAUCAGUCUGUCAGGCGCGGUGUUUUCGGCGAUCCGUCGCUCGGAGAUCGUCGAAGCCUGAAAGAUCACUCGACGCAAAAACAGAAUGGAUCAAGUCGACUGAAGGCAAGUUGUUUCCUGUCGACAAAGGAAUUCUUUGGUCCAGAACAGCGCACAACCGGAGCACAAAGAUUAAUCGGAAACGACAUCAACUCCUUCUUCACUCGAAGCCUCAAUCCAUUCGGGGGCUAAUGAUGGGGUUAUGUACCUAGGGUAGGGUCAUGGACCUGAUCCAAGUAACUUACCCCAGGACAUCCUUAGAAGAGGAUUCACUCGACUGGUCUGAAGGACUCGACCACGAAGACUCACUCGACCACCAGGAGGUCAAGAGGCACUCUGCACUGCAACGGCCUGUAAUCAAGUAGACUUUAUGAUAGUAAAGGCCUUUAUGUGGGGCGUUACCAGUAACGCCCCAGACUUAACUCACCUUAAACCCUCUCCUACGUGGGCUGGCUGGGGUCCUGGCGCACUCUAUAUAAGCCACCCCCCUCCACAGGCAGAGGGGUUCGGCACCUUGUAAUUCACACAUUCAUAAUCCACUCGACCGCCUCCGGGCUCCGAGACGUAGGGCUGUUACUUCUUCCGAGAAGGGCCUGAACUCGUACAUCCUUUGUGCUUACAACCUCUCCAUAGCUAGGACCUUGCCUCUCCAUACCUACCCCCACUCUACUGUCAGGCUUAGAACCACGACAGUCCGCAUAAGCAUUGUCAUCAAUCACCAAAACAACUAAGGGAAAAAUAUGCCCUUACAAUCUCCCCCUUUUUGGUGGAUUGAUGACGAUACAUGAUUUGCAUAAAGGAGAUAACAUAGAACAUGGGCAAACCCAAUACCUCUAAAAUAUAGACGGGCUCCCCCUAGAUGUGUGCUAUCUAGAUGAGUGCUUUGGAUUGCACGACACACAUACUAGGAUCAAGACUCCCCCUAUAUUUUAUAGACAAGGCAUAUCUUGCAACAAUAAGGCUAACACUAAGCAAGAUAGUACAUAUGAGCAUAAUAUAAAUAACACAAGAUAGCAUAAGCUCAAUAAGGUACGAUAGAGUGCAUAUGUCUUACACCAUAUGAUAGAAAGGUCUCACAAGCACAAACCAAACCAAACGAGGUCCAACGACAAAGCAAACGAAAACACGACUCACAACUCGCAAAUCCUACUCUCUCUCCCCCUUUGGCAUCGAGACACCAAAAAGGCAGAGAGGACACCUACAACACAAGUGGUGGCUCAAGCGGAGUAAUCACUCGCAUGCUCCUCAUCAGACUCGGCAGCUGGGACAGACUCCUCCUUGUCCCCUUCAGAAUCAGUCCACCUGUAGCCCUGCUUCGCCAUCCAGGCUGCCUCUGGUGUGAUGACCCUCUCAGAUCCGCUGGAUAUAUGCUCACCAAAUGUCCUAAAGAUCCGCUUGUCGCGGCGGUGACUCUCCUUCUGAGCAACAUGAGACCGGUACUGCCCCUUGGCCUGCAUGCAGAACAGAGCCUUCAUCUUGUUCUUUAGCUUCUUAGCCUAAGAGGGCUCAGAAGACGAAGGCGAGUAGCCAGCAAAGCUGUCCUCAUCAGCGUCCUCCUCCUCAAUCUCAUCUGCAUCCACAUCCAUUUGAGUAGCCGCUGCCUCAGCACGGGUAGUAGUGUUGUCCCACUAGGGCUUGAUACGAAGCCUGAUGGGCUCAUGACGAAUCCAGUCAGGGGCAAGAAACUCAUCAUUGGGAUAGAGCUUCUCCCAAGUCCUCGUGAUCAACAGAAACAGGUAAGGUCCAUAGAUGGGUACCUUACGGGUGAACACUGCAAACCGAAGCUCACACAACAUCAUAUGUGAGACAUCAAGUGGUUGAGUCUGAGAGAGACGCACCUCCUCACAGAUGAGCAUCAUAUCCACAAGAUAGACAUGCACUUUGUCCUUUUCACCAAUGCGGGGAAAGAGAGAGUUGCGGAAGACGCGAUACAUGAUGUCGAGAAAGGGGUUCAACACCCACAUCUUCUUGCCACUCGGAAGAAACUUCUUAACAUAGUAGGGUAGAAGCUUGUUCUUGUUGGCUGACUCGGGAUUGGCAUGAGGGCAUACACCAAUAGGUGUGUUGAGCCCCUCAUCAGGAACCUGAAGCAAAUCCAUGAAGUCCUUCCAUGUAGUAGUCAGCCGCUGUCCGUUGGUCAUCCAGAUCAUCUUCCGUUCCUCAUCAGUAUGGAAGUGGACCGAGGCAAAGAACUGGGCCACAAUCUCAGGGUCAUAAUCCAAAUGGAAUGAGAUCACGUGCUCAAUGCCAAACUGAUCCACGAGGUCCAGAGCCUCACCAAAGUAAUCACGAUGCCUAUCAUCCCUCAUGUGAUGCAUGUCAAUCCAGUGCACGUCCACAUAGAUGUUUUGCUUUGCCUUGAUCACAUCCACAUAAGUGAGAUAAUGCUGCUUGGUCCAAAACAAAUCAUUCCCGCUGAAGUUGGCACGAGGAUUCACAUAGGGGUUGAUCUUCCUUCGAGAGGCAAACUCAGCAAGAGGUAUCUCAUCCAUGCCCUUGGUGGGCUCCUUGAGCUUGGUGGCGGUGGUCUUGGUCCUGCGUUGGGGGGCAUUGGAGCCCUCUGGAGCUUCGUCUUGGUUGCGCAGACACUUGGAGCCUGUGUCACGACUGGGAUUGGAACGACGAGCAGGAGCACCGGAGCCACCACCUAAGACACAAAACAGAAAAACACACACGAGAAGCGAGAAGGAUCAAUGCAAAGACCACAGAAAAACAGGAGAAACAGGUAGAGCUCGCACUUGGUAAUUGCCACAUGGAAGAUUUGACUACAACGGUAGUACCGCAUGGCUACGCGGUACUAAAAUUUUAGUGCUACUCCUAGCCACGGUAGUACGGCGCCGGGGUGGCACGGUAGUACCGUGUCUCGGAGCGGCAGUAAAAUUUUAGUUCCGCGCCUCGUGCGGUAGUACCGCUCCUGAGGAGCGGUAGUACCGUACGCGCGGUAGUACCGCACCGGAGAUGCGGUAGUACCGCACGGUGUCAGAUCCGAAACCUCAACUGGAUCCGAGCAUAACCGUGAUGGCAAAGUGGUACUACGGUUGAUCAAAUCUACCACGAGACAACAUAUCAAGUACCAUCUCUACGCAUUACUACUCUCCUACAUCCUACUCUUGCAUAGAUUUAGCCUAAAAUCUCAAGAACAACAUGCAUCUCCCCAAAAACCUAGAAACGAAAGAACGAAGCAAAGAGAGAGGGAUUUGGGGAGAAACCUUGUUCCAUGGCAAGAGGAAGUGGUGGGGAACGAUCCCACCGGACGGAAUGCGAGGAGAGCGGCUGGAGACGGAGAUCCGGCGAGGGUCUCCGCGCCGUUCUUGGGUAGGAGAGAGAGAAACGACGUGGGGAGAAGGAGUGAAUGGGUAUGGGGGAUUUGGAACUCCCCCUGCCUGCUCUUAACCCCCACACGCUCUCGAAUGCGCGGUAGUACCGCGUGUCAUCGCGGUAGUACCGCCUGGAUGGAAGUACCGCACCGAGGGUGGUAGUACCGCUCCGCCAGGCGGCAAUAAAAAAUUACUGCCGUUCUGGGUGCGGUAGUACAGUGCGCAGCUCCUAUGGUAGUACCGUGGCAUGCCGCGGUAGUACUGUGUGCCCAAGAAAAUGUAGGUUUCAAACAGAGAAGACCAAAUGGCCUUUGCAAAGAACCUUCAAGCGAACGGAUGCACCAAGACGUAGAAACAUGAGACAACACACACAAGCCCGACACAAGGAAAAAGAGACAAGAGACAACAAGGACUAAACAAGCAACCCAACCUCUCCAACGAGAGGGCGGUGGCCGGAGCCACCUAUUUGAGUCAAUUGGUAUGGCACCGUGAAGAAGUAUCCUUGGGCCCAUGACCAAAACUCGACUUUGAAGCACAAGUACCAUCAACAAUGGCUAAUGUGAAAGAGUUGAUCAAUUUAUGCAUAAUGGGGGGAGGAAGAGUUCAUUGAGAGAACAACACUCCCCCUAUGUCCAUGCCUACACCUAAACAAGAUAACAAGUUGAGUAUGGUGGGGUGUGCAAGGGUUCAAGCAACAUUGCUCGAAUCAAUGAUAUUUAGCUCAUGCCUUAAUUCGCGAAAUAUUGCUUCAUCCAAGGGCUUCGUGAAGAUAUCUGCAAGGUUAUCAAGAGUGUUGACAUAGUUGAGCUCGAUCUCCCCUCACCUAAUAUGAUCCCGGAUGAAGUGAUACCGAAGCUCAAUAUGCUUCGUCUUGAAGUGUUGCACCGGGUCGAGAGAAAUCUUGAUGGCACUUUCAUUGUCACACCAAAGAGGCACUUUGUCACAAAUGACACCGUAAUCCUUUAAAGUUUACCUCAUCCAUAGAAAUUGUGCACAACAACUACCGGCAGCCACAUACUCUGCUUCCGUGGACGAGAGAGACAUGCAACUUUGCUUCUUGGAAGACCAACUCACCAAAGAGGAACCAAGAAAUUGGCACCCUCCAGAAGUUGACUUCCUAUCCACUUUGUCUCCCGCCUAAUCGGAGUCCGAAUAGCCCACAAGAUUGAAGCUAGAUCCUCUUGGAUACCAUAAGCCAAAGUUUGGGGUAUGAGCCAAAUAUCGAAAGAUUCGCUUGACCGCCACAUAGUGGCUUUCCUUAGGUGCGUCUUGAAACCAUGCAGAAAUUCCCACACUCAGCAUGAUAUCCGGUCUAGAUGCACAAAGGUAAAGCAAGGAUCCAAUCAUGGAGCGAUAUACCUUUUGAUCCACCGCUUUACCAUUGGGAUCUAUGUCAAGUUGGCAUUUGACAGGCAUUGGAGUGGAAGCCGGCUUGACAUCACUUAGCUUGAAUCUCUUGAGCAUGUCUUGAGUGUAUUUGGAUUGGUUGAUGAAGGUUCCUUCUCUUCAUUGCUUGACUUCAAACCCGAGAAAGAACUUCAACUCUCCCAUCAUGGAAAUCUUGAACUUGGAGGUCAUGAGUGCGGCAAAUUCCUCAUUGAAAGCUUGGUUAGGGGAACCAAAGAUAAUAUCAUCAACAUAUAGUUGGCACACAAACAACUCCCUUUUGACCUUCUUAGUAAAAAGAGUGGGGUCGAUUUUCCCAAUUUCAAAACCACGAUCUUGCAACAACUCGGUAAGGUGGUCAUACCACGCACGUGGGGCUUGCUUAAGGCCAUAGAGUGCCUUAUCGAGUUGGUACACAUGAUCGGGAAAAUAGGGGUCCUCGAACCCGGGGGGUUGCUUGACAUAUACCAACUCAUUAAUACGACCAUUAAGAAAAGCACUCUUCACAUCCAUUUAUUGUAACUUAAAGUUAUGAUGAGAUGCAUAUGCAAUCAACAUGCGAAUGGAUUCAAGGCGAGCAACGGGAGCAAAGAUUUCACCGUAGUCGAUACCCUCGACUUGGGAGUAGCCUUGGGCUACCAAACGAGCCUUGUUGCGAAUGAUAAUUCCAUGAGCAUCUUGCUUGUUCUUGAAUAUCCAUUUGGUUCCAAUGACAUUAUGGUUCCCCGUUGGCCUUGGCACCAAUCUCCACACCUUGUUGUGCUCGAAGUUGUUGAGUUCUUCAUGCAUGGCAUUAAGCCAAUCCGGAUCCUCGAGCGCCUCAUAGACGUUUUGGGGUUCAACACAAGAGACAAACGUGUGAUGUUCACAAUAGUUUGCUAAUUGUCUACGAGUGCUUACCCCUUUCUUAAGCUUCCAAGUGCAUUUUUCAUGAGAUGAUAUUUGGUGGAUAGCUUGGAUGCGAUCUUGGCGGUACGACGCUCUAAUUCCUCCUAUGGAGAGAGUUGAGGAGCGGUUACUUGAUCAUCUUGAGCGUCGUCUUGAGCUCGUUCUUGAUCUUGAGCUUGCUCUUGAUCUUGAACUUGCUUGGAUAAGAGAACUUGACCUUGGGCAUCACUUGGUGAUUCAACACCAUCUUGAGGUUGGUCUUGCCCUUGGUCUUGUUCAUGAGGUUGAGGGCCUUCACUUUGUUCUUCGGAAGCGUGUGGGCCUUGGGUUGGUGAUGGCUCCAUGUGAGUGGAACAUUAUCCUUCUCCUUCGGCCACAAGGGGAUCCUCAAUGGGUAGGAUAAAACCAACACCCAUUCUUCUUAUGGAUUGGGAGGAAUUUCAUCACCUACAUCACAAGUGUCACUUUGCUCCAUGCUACCUCUUGAGCACUGCGUUGGUUUUCCCUUGAAGAGUAAAGGGUGAUGUAGUAAAGCAGCGUAAAUAUUUCCCUCAGUUUUUGAGAACCAAGGUAUCAAUCCAGUAGGAGACCACGCACGAGUCACCUCGUGCCUACACAAACAAAUAAAAACCUCGCAACCAACACAAUAAAGGGGUUGUCAAUCCCUUCACGGUCACUUGCAAGAGUGAGAUCUGAUAGAGAUAAUAAUAGUAAUAAGAUAAAUAUUUUUGGUAUUUUUAUGAUAUAGAUUGAAAGUAAAGAUUGCAAAAUAAAAUAGAUUGGAAACUUGUAUGAUGGAAAAUAGACCUGAGGGCCAUAGGUUUCACUAGUGGCUUCUCUCAAGAUAGCAUAAGUAUUACGGUGGGUGAACAAAUUACUGUCGAGCAAUUGAUAGAAAAACGAAUAAUUAUGAGAAUAUCUAGGCAUGAUCAUGUAUAUAGGCAUCACGUCCGUGACAAGUAGACCGAAACGAUUCUGCAUCUACUACUAUUACUCCACACAUCGACCGCUAUCCAGCAUGCAUCUAGAGUAUUAAGUUCAUAAGAACAGAGUAACGCCUUAAGCAAGAUGACAUGAUCUAGAGGGAUAAACUCAUGCAAUAUGAUAUAAACCCCAUCUUUUUUAUCCGCGAUGGCAACAAUACAAUACAUGUCGUUUCCCCUACUGUCACUGGGAUCGAGCACCGUAAGAUUGAACCCAAAGCUAAGCACUUCUCCCAUUGCAAGAAAGAUCAAUCUAGUAGGCCAAACCAAACUGAUAAUUCGAAGAGACUUGCAAAGAUAAACCAAUCAUACAUAAAAGAAUUCAGAGAAGAAUCAAAUAUUGUUCAUAGAUAAUCUGGAUUAUAAACCCACAAUUCAUCGGAUCUCGACAAACACACCGCAAAAGAAGAUUACAUCGAAUAGAUCUCCAAGAGAAUCAAGGAGAACUUUGUAUUGAGAUCCAAAGAAAGAGAAGAAGCCAUCUAGAUACUAACUAUGGACCCGAAGGUCUGAGGUAAACUACUCACACAUCACCGGAGAGGCCAUGGAGUUGAUGUAGAGGCCCUCCGUGAUCAAUGCCCCCUCUGGUGGAGCUCCGAAAAAGGCCCCAAGAUGGGAUCUCUUGGGUACAGAAGGUUGCGGCGGUGGAAUUAGGUUUUUGUGGUGCUCCUGGAUGUUUGCGGGGUACGUGGACUUAUAUAGGAGGAAGAAGUAGGUCGGUGGAGCAACGAGGGGCCCAUGAGGGUGGAGGGCGCGCCCCCUGCCUCGUGGCCUCCUCGAUUGUUUCUUGACGCCCACUCCAAGUCUCCUGGAUCAUGUUUGUUGAGAAAAUCACGCUCCCGAAGGUUUCAUUCCGUUUGGACUUUGUUUGAUAUUCCUUUUCUGCGAAACACUGAAAUAGGCAAAAAACAACAAUUUGGGCUGGGCCUCCGGUUAAUAGGUUAGUCCCAAAAAUGAUAUAGAAGUGUAAAAUAAAGCCCAUUAACAACCAAACUAGAUACUAUAAUAGCACGGAGCAAUCAAAAAUUAUAGAUAUGUUGGAGACGUAUCAAGCAUCCCCAAGCUUAAUUCCUGCUCGUCCUCGAGUAGGUAAAUGGUAAAAUAGAUUUUUUGAUGUGGAAUGCUUUCUAACAUACUUCUCAAUGUAAUUUUUCUUUAUUGUGGCAUGAAUGUUCAGAUUCAAAAGAUUCAAGAUAAAAGUUUAAUAUUGACAUAAAAACAAUAAUACUUCAAGUAUACUAACUAAGCAAUCAUGUCUUCUCAAAAUAACAUGGCCAAACAAAGUUAUCCCUACAAAAUCAUAUAGUCGGGCUAUGCUCUAUGUUCACCACACAAAAUAUUUAAAUCAUGCAAAACCCCGAUGAAAAGCCAAGCAAUUGUUUCAUACUUUUGAUGUUCUCAAACUUUUUCAAUCUUCAUGCAAUAUAUGAGCGUGAGCCAUGGAUAUAGCACUAUGGUGGAAUAGAAUGGUGGUUGUGGAGAAGACAAAAAGGGAGAAGAUAGUCUCACAUCAACUAGGCGUAUCAAUGGGCUAUGGAGAUGCCCAUCAAUAGAUAUCAAUGUGAGUGAGUAGGGAUUGCCAUGCAACGGAUGCACUAGAGCUAUAAGUGUAUGAAAGCUCAACAAAAGAACUAAGUGGGUGUGCAUCCAACUUGCUUGCUCAUGAAGACCUAAGGCAAUUUUGAGGAAGCCCAUCAUUGGAAUAUACAAGCCAAGUUCUAUAAUGUAAAAUUCCCACUAGUAUAUAAAAGUGAUAACGUAGGAGACUCUCUAUCAUGAAGAUCAUGGUGCUACUUUGAAGCACAAGUGUGAAAAAAGGAUAGUAACAUUGUCCCUUCUCUCUUUUUCUCUCAUUUUUUAUCUGGGCCUUCUUUUUUUCUUCUUUUUGGCCUCUUUUUUUUCGUCCGGAGUCUCAUCCCGACUUGUGGGGGAAUCAUAGUCUCCAUUAUACUUUCCUCACUGGGACAAUGCUCUAAUAAUGAUGAUCAUCACACUUUAAUUUACUUACAACUCAAUAUUUAGAACAAAAUAUGACUCUAUGUGAAUGCCUCCGGCGGUGUACCGGGAUGUGCAAUGAUGCAUGAGUGACAUGUAUGAAGAAUUAUGAACGGUGGCUUUGCUACAAAUACGAUGUCAACUACAUGAUCAUGCAAGCAAUAUGACAAUGAUGAAGCGUGUCAUAAUAACAGAACGGUGGAAAGUUGCAUGGCAAUAUAUCUCGGAAUGGCUAUGGAAAUGCCAUAAUAGGUAGGUAUGGCGGCUGUUUUGAGGAAGAUAUAUGGUGGGUUGAUGGUACCGGCAAAAGUUGCACGAUACUAGAGAGGCUAGCAAUGGUGGAAGGGUGAGAGUGUGUAUAAUCCAUGGACUCAACAUUAGUCAUAAAGAAUUCACAUACUUAUUGCAAAAAUCUAUUAGUUAUCGAAACAAAGUAUUACAUGCAUGCUCCUAGGGGGAUAGAUUGGUAGGAAAAGACCAUCGCUCGUCCCCGACCGCCACUCAUAAGGAAGACAAUCAAUAAAUAAAUCAUGCUCCGACUUCAUCACAUAAUGGUUCACCAUACGUGCAUGCUACGGGAAUCACAAACUUCAACACAAGUAUUUCUCAAAUUCACAACUACUCAACUAGCAUGACUCUAAUAUCACCAUCUCCAUAUCUCAAAACAAUUAUCAAGUAUCAAACUUCUCAUAGUAUUCAAUGCACUUCUAUGAAAGUUUUUAUAUUAUUCUUAAAAGCAAUUUUCCAUGUUGUUCUAAAGGACUCUCAAAAUAAUAUAAUUGAAGCAUGAGAGAUCAAUUAUUUCUAUAAAAUAAAACCACCACCGUGCUCUAAAAGAUAUAAGUGAAGCACUAGAGCAAAAACUAUAUGGCUCAAAAGAUAUAAGUGAAGCACAUAGAGUAUUCUAAUAAAUUUCAAAUCAUGUGAGUGAAGGAAAUAUGCCCUAGAGGCAAUAAUAAAGUUAUUAUUUAUUUCCUUAUAAUCAUGAUAAAUGUUUAUUAUUCAUGCUAGAAGUGUAUUUACCGGAAACAUAAUACAUGUGUGAAUACAUAGACAAACAAAGUGUCACUAGUAUGCCUCUACUUAACUAGCUCGUUAAUCAAAGAUGGUUAUGUUUCCUAACCAUGAACAAUGAGUUGUUAUUUGAUUAACGAGGUCACAUCAUUAGCAGAAUGAUCUGAUUGACAUGACCCAUUCCAUUAGCUUAGCACCUGAUCGUUUAGUAUGUUGCUAUUGCUUUCUUCAUGACUUAUACAUGUUCCUAUGACUAUGAGAUUAUGCAACUCCCGUUUACCGGAGGAACACUUUGGGUACUACCAAACGUCACAAUGUAACUGGGUGAUUAUAAAGGAGUACUACAGGUGUCUCCAAUGGUCGAUGUUGGGUUGGCGUAUUUCAAGAUUAGGAUUUGUCACUCCGAUUGUCGGAGAGGUAUCUCUGGGCCCUCUCGGUAAUACACAUCACAUAAGCCUUGCAAGCAUUACAACUAAUAUGUUAGUUGUGAGAUGAUGUAUUACGGAACGAGUAAAGAGACUUGCCGGUAACGAGAUUGAACUAGGUAUUGGAUACCGACGAUCGAAUCUCGGGCAAGUAACAUACCGAUGACAAAGGGAACAACGUAUGUUGUUAUGCGGUCUGACCGAUAAAGAUCUUCGUAGAAUAUGUAGGAGCCAAUAUGGGCAUCCAGGUCCCGCUAUUGGUUAUUGACCAGAGACGUGUCUCGGUCAUGUCUACAUUGUUCUCGAACCCGUAGGGUCCGCACGCUUAAGGUUACGAUGACACUUAUAUUAUGAGUUUAUGCAUUUUGAUGUACCGAAGGUUGUUCGGAGUCCCGGAUGUGAUCACGGACAUGACGAGGAGUCUCGAAAUGGUCGAGACGUAAAGAUUGAUAUAUUGGAAGCCUAUAUUUGGAUAUCGGAAGUGUUCCGGGUGAAAUCGGGAUUUUACCGGAAUACCGGGAGGGUUACCGGAACCCCCCGGGAGCUAUUUGGGCCAUAGUGGGCCUUAGUGGAAAAGAGAAGGGGCUGCCCUAGAUGGGCUGCGCGCCCCCCCUUCCCCUAGUCCUAUUAGGACUAGGAGAGGUGGCCGGCCCCCUCCUCCUCUUUUCCCCUCCGAGGAAUCCUAGUUGGACUAGGAUUGGAGGGGGAAUCCUACUCCCAGAGGGAGUAGGACUCUCCUGCGCCUCCCCCCCUUGGCCGGCCAGCCUCCCCUCCUCUCCUCCUUUAUAUACGGAGGCAGGGGCACCUCUAAACACACAAGUGGACACAAGUUGAUCCACGUGAUCUAUUCCUUAGCCGUGUGCGGUGCCCCCUGCCACCAUAUUCCUCGAUAAUACUGUAGCGGAGUUUAGGCGAAGCCCUGCUGCUGUAGUUCAUCAAGAUCGUCACCACGCCGUCGUGCUGACGAAACUCUUCCCCGACACUUUGCUGGAUCGGAGUCCGGGGAUCGUCAUCGAGCUGAACGUGUGCUCGAACUCGGAGGUGCCGUAGUUUCGGUGCUUGAUCGGUUGGAUCGAGAAGACGUACGACUACUUCCUCUACGUCGUGUCAUCGCUUCCGCAGUCGGUCUGCGUUGGGUACGUAGACAAUACUCUCCCCUCGUUGCUAUGCAUCACAUGAUCUUGCGUGUGCGUAGGAAUUUUUUUGAAAUUACUACGAAACCCGACAGUGAGUAUCUCUCAAAAGGUGUGUACAUAAAGGGUGAUUGUGGUAAACUAAAAAGCAAAGACUAAAAUCAUACAAGACGCUCCAAGAAAAACACAUAUCAUGUGGUGAAUAAAAAUAUAGCUCCAAGUGAAGUUACCGAUAGACGAAGACGAAAGAGGGGAUGCCUUCCGGGGCAUCCCCAAGCUUAGGCUUUUUGGUGUCCUUGAAUUUUACCUUGGGGUUCCAUGGGCAUCCCCAAGCUUAGGCUCUUGCCACUCCUUGUUCCAUAAUCCAUCAAAUCUUUACCCAAAACUUGAAAACUUCACAACACAAAACUCAAAAUAGAAAAUCUCGUGAGCUCCGUUAGCGAAAGAAAACAAAACACCACUUCAAGGUACUGUAAUGAACUCAUUCUUGAUUUAUAUUGGUGUUAAACCUACUGUAUUCCAACUUCUCUAUGUUCAUAAACUAUUUUACUAGCCAUAGAUUCAUCAAAAUAAGCAAACAACACACGAAAAACAGAAUCUGUCAAAAACAGAACAGUCUGUAGUAAUCUGUAGCUAACGCAAACUUCUAGAACCCCAAAAAUUAUAAAAUAAAUUUCUGGACGUGAGGAAUUUAUUUAUUAAUAAUCUGCAAAAAUAAUUAACUAAAUAACACUUUCCAAAUAAAAAUGGCAGCAAUUCUCGUGAGCGCUAAAGUUUCUGUUUUUACAGCAAGAUCAAAAAGACUUUCCCCAAGUCUUCCCAACGGUUCUACUUGGCACAAACACUAAUUAAACACAAAAAGCACAACCAAAACAGAGGCUAUAUUAAUUAUUUAUUACUAAACAGGAGCAAAAAUCAAGGAAUAAAAAUAAAAUUGGGUUGCCUCCCAACAAGCGCUAUCAUUUAACGCCCCUAGCUAGGCAUAAAAGCAAGAAUAGAUCUAGGUAUUGCCAUCUUUGGUAGGUAAUUCUUCAAUAAGACACCUAUAACCCUUAGCGGUUUCUUUCUUUUUAUUAAUUAUCAAACUCCUAGGCAUGAAAUCAAGAAAAUCAUUUGUAGCAAAAGGUUCCUUAAGGAUAGUGAGAAAGUUGGGGUGAACACUUAUGGAUUUGAGGCCCGCAUUUUCCUUACUAGAAGUUUCACCCUUAUUGUUAGGAACAUACAUCAAUUUGGCAAUCUUAUCAUUAGAAGGAGUGUUUUUCAUGGAAGAAAAGGCAGACCCAAGGUUGGUAAUAAUAUCCUCAAUUUUAUCAAUUCUAGUGGAAUCUUGAUCUAUCUUUUCAUUAACCAUAGGUCCCUUUUCUUUAAAAAAUUUAAGAGCAACUCCUACCUUAGAUCCAUAUUGGGUAAUUUGGUUAUGGAUCUUUCUAUCCAAAUUUUCAAUCAACUCUACGGUGGCAACUUUAUUUUCAAUAAUUUCAAGCUGUUGCAUCAUGUGUUCCAAAGUUAAAAUAGUUCCAUUAACCAAAAGAGGUGGUGGGCCAAACAAAUCUAUCAUAGCAUUAUAAGAAUCAAAAGUAUGGCUACCCAAGAAAUUUCCUCCGGUAAUGGCAUCAAGAACAUAUCUAUUCCAAGGAGUGAUGCCUACAUAAAAAUUGUGAAGAAGAACGGAAGUAGAUUGCUUCCUAGUAGAUCUAUUUUGCGCAUUGCAAAUUCUGUACCAAGCAUCUUUUAGAUUUUCUCCCUCCCUUUGUUUAAAAUUAAGAACUUCAUUCUCGGGAGACAAAGGAGUAGAUAAAGGACUAGCCAUAAUGAUGAAGCAAGCGGAAAAGAGGCGAAUGGAAAGAGAGGGUGAGAGGAAAAAAGGGCGAAUAAAAUGGCAAGGGUGAAGUGGGGGAGAGUAAAACGAGAGGCAAAUGGCAAAUAAUGUAAUGCGAAGGAUAAGAGUUGUGAUGGGUACUUGGUAUGUCUUGACUUGGCGUAGAUCUCCCCAGCAACGGUGCCAAAAAUUCUUCUUGCUACCUCUUGAGCACUGCGUUGGUUUUCCCUUGAAGAGGAAAGGGUGAUGCAGUAAAGCAGCAUAAGUAUUUCCCUCAGUUUUUGAGAACCAAGGUAUCAAUCCAGUAGGAGACCACGCGCGAGUCAUCUCGUGCCUACACAAACAAAUAAGAACCUCGCAACCAACGCGAUAAAGGGGUUUUCAAUCCCUUCACGGCCACUUGCAAGAGUGAGAUCUGAUAGAGAUAAUAAUAAUAAGAUAAAUAUAUUUGGUAUUUUUAUGAUAUAGAUUGAAAGUAAAGAUUGCAAAAUAAAAUAGAUUUGAAACUUGUAUGAUGGAUAAUAGACCCGGGGCCAUAGGUUUCACUAGUGGCUUCUCUCAAGAUAGCAUAAGUAUUACGGUGGGUGAACAAAUUACUAUCGAGCAAUUGAUAGAAAAACGAAUAAUUAUGAGAAUAUCUAGGGAUGAUCAUGUAUAUAGGCAUCACGUCCGCGACAAGUAGACCGAAACGAUUCUGCAUCUACUACUAUUACUCCACACAUCGACCGCUAUCCAGCAUGCAUCUAGAGUAUUAAGUUCAUAAGAAUAGAGUAACGCUUUAAGCAAGAUGACAUGAUGUAGAGGGAUAAACUCAUGCAAUAUGAUAUAAACCCCAUCUUUUUUAUCUUUGAUGGCAACAAUACAAUACGUAUAGUUUCCCCAACUUUCACUGGGAUCAAGCACCGUAAGAUUGAACCCAAAGCUAAGCAUUUCUCCCAUUGCAAGAAAGAUCAAUCUAGUAGGCCAAACCAAACUGAUAAUUUGAAGAGACUUGCAAAGAUAAACCAAUCAUACAUAAAAGAAUUCAGAUAAGAAUCAAAUAUUGUUCAUAGAUAAUCUGGAUCAUAAACCCACAAUUCAUCGGAUCUCGACAAACACACCGCAAAAGGAGAUUACAUCGAAUAGAUCUCUAAGAGAAUCGAGGAGAACUAUGUAUUGAGAUCCAAAGAGAGGGAAGAAGCCAUCUAGCUACUAACUAUGGACCCGAAGGUCUGAGGUAAACUAUUCACACAUCACCGGAGAGUCCAUGGAGUUGAUGUAGAGGCCCUCCAUGAUCAAUGCCCCCUCCGGCGGAGCUCCGAAAAAGGCCCCAAGAUGGGAUCUCUUGGGUACAGAAGGUUGCGGCGGUGGAAUUAGGUUUUCGUGGUGCUCCUAGAUGUUUGCAGGGUACGUGGACUUAUAUAAGAGGAAGAAGUAGGUCGGUGGAGCAAUGAGGGGCCCACGAGGGUGGAGGGUGCGCCUAGGGGGUAGGCGCGCCCCCUGCCUCGUGGCCUCCUCGAUUGUUUCUUGACGCCCACUCCAAGUCUCCUGGAUCUCGUUUGUUGAGAAAAUCACGUUCCCAAAGGUUUCAUUCCGUUUGGACUUCGUUUGAUAUUCCUUUUCUGCGAAACACUGAAAUAGGCAAAAAAAACAGCAAUUUGGGCCGGGCCUCCGGUUAAUAGGUUAGUCCCAAAAAUGAUAUAAAAGUGUAAAAUAAAGCCCAUUAACAUCCAAAACAGAUAAUAUAAUAGCAUGGAGCAAUCAAAAAUUAUAGAUACAUUGGAGACGUAUCACUCCACUUGGGAGCCGUUAUUCUCAUCAAACUCCAUGUUACAUGUCUCCUCAAUAAGUCCCGUGGACUUACUGAGGACACGGUAAGCAUGGGAGUUUGUAGCAUAACCAACAAAUAUGCCCUCAUGAGCUCUAGCCUCAAAUUUAGACAAACAAACACCUUUCUUGAGAAUGAAACACUUACACCCGAACACCUGGAAGUACUUGUGGUUGGGCUUGUUACCGGUGAGUAUCUCAUAUGGAGUCUUGUUCAAGCCUUUGCGGAGGUAGAGACAAUUGGAUGGAUGCCACGCGGUGUUGAUGGCUUCGGCCCAAAAGUUGUAUGGAGAAUUGAAUUCCGCCAUCAUGGUCCUUGUCGCAUCCAUCAAUAUCCGGUUCUUCCUCUCUGCUACACCAUUUUGUUGAGGGGUGUAAGGUGCGGAAUAUUGAUGCUUGAUCCCCUCAUCACUAAGAAACUCAUCCAAGGUGUAGUUCUUGAACUCGGUACCAUUGUCACUUCUUAUUGUCAAGAUCUUUGCAUUGUGUUGACGUUGAGCUUCAUUUGCAAAGUCAAUGACAGUUUGUUGGGUCUCGCUCUUCCUCCUGAAGAAAUAUACCCAAGUGUAUCUUGAAUAAUCAUCCACAAUCACCAAGCAAUACUUUCUACCCCAAGACUAUCAAAGGAUGGAGGCCCAAAGAGAUCCAUGUGAAGGAGCUCCAAAGGCCUCUUCGAGUAAAUGAUAGUCGUGGGAGGCUGAGCCUUUUCAUGUAGCUUUCCUUCGAUACAAGCACUGCAAGCACGAUCUUUAGCAAAACUAACAUUUGUUAGUCCACGGACAUGGCCCCCCUUGAGAAGACUUUACAAAGAUAUCAUAUUGACAUGGGCUAAACGGCGAUGGCAAAGCCAUCACACGUCAACUUUAGCCAUUAGGCAUGUCGCAGUCUUAGUGGGUCGCUCCGAAAAGUUAAUCACACAGAGACCAUCCUCGACAUGCCCAACAAAGGCUACUUUAAGAGUCUUGCUCCACAAGAGGGCCACAUUAUCAACAUCAAAGAAAGUGGCAAAGCCCAUGAGUUCAAGUUGACGAACGGAAAGUAAAUUGUAUGCAAGGGACUCAACAAGCAUGACCUUCUCAAUCGUGAGAUCAUGAGAAAUGACAACCUUGCCAAGUCCCAAUACCUUAGAGGACGAGGCAUCACCCCACUCGACAUUGGUGGGCAUAGAUGGAAUCUUGUGAACGUCCACCACCAAGUCCUUGCUUCCGGUCAUAUGAUUAGUGGCUCCACUAUUGAGCAACCAUGAUCCCCCACCGGAAGCAAACACCUACAAGAAAUCAAUGCUUGGCUUUAGGUACCCAUUUUGUAAUGGGUCCUUUGAUGUUAGUAACAAGGGUCUUAGGAACCCAAAUAGACCAUUCAAUGUACUCAUAAGAAGACCCAACAAGUUUGGCAUAAACAUGUCCAUCACUAGCACGGCAUAAGACAUAAGAAGCAUUAAAGUCGCCGACUUUGUUGAGACGGGUAGCAUUGCCCUUCUUAGCAUCACCACCCUUCACAUUGUUCUUCAUCUUCUUCUUAGAAGCACCCUCUCCCUCCUUCACAAAAGUUUUCUUGAGAGGGGGAGGUCGUUUGGCCUUGUCAUCCUUCUUCUUGUUCUUGGACUUGGGUAUGAACCCAAUUCCUUCCUUGGCCACAACUUCCUUUUGAUUGCUCAAAAGGUCAUUGAGGUUCUUCUCACCUUGUAUGCACGAUACAAGGCCUUUCUCAAGUUGCUUCCUCAACUUUUCAUUCUCCUCAACAAGAUGCACAUGCUCACAACAUGGGUUAGUAUCAUUUGCAUUAUCAAUUAAGACCAUAUGAGGAAAGGUGGCUUUCUCCUUGGUUAGCUUUACUUGGAGUUGAUCAUGAGACUGUUUGAGGCUAGCAUGAGCACCCUUCAAGACCUUGUAAGCCUUGUCAAGUAAAUCAAACUCCUCUUUGAGUCUAGCAAGAUCAACCCCAAGCUUGGCCUUCUCUGAGUUUAGCACACGAGAUACAACAAGAGCAUGAUCAAGAUCUUUCUUUAAUUUGGCGUGGUCAUCGUUGUAUGACUCCUCAAGAGCCAAACGAAGACCUGGCUCUUCACUAAGAGCAUUGGAAAUAUCCGAAAUCUCGUCGGCAUAGUCACGACUAUGUCCCUCCAUCUUAGAGAUGGUAUCUUCGUGAGCCUCGAUCAUGUCAUUGGCUUCACCAAGUUGUUCCAAGAGAGCAACGAAGUGCUUCUUGGAUUUACCCUUGAGCUUACUCACAAAAAACUCAAAUUCAUUCUCCUCCACAUUGUACCCCUCAUGUUCAUCAAUGCAAUCCAGCUAAGAAGGAUUAUUAAUGAUGGUAGUUUUGAUGUUGGGGGUUACCUCGUUGGUGGCUUUAGCCAUGAGGCACUUGGCGGUGAAGUUCUCAUUGGGUGAGUCGAAGAGAGACACCCGUGGAGUUGUCUCAAUGGCAAUGGAGGCCACGGAAACUGACUCACCAUCAUCAUCAUCAUCAUCAUCAUCAUCAUCAUCCUCAUUGUACUCUUAUUGUGCCACCAACCCCUUGGGAGGAGUCUUCUUGGUGAAGUUGCUCUUGCUGGGGAAAGACUUGGCCUUGUCAUUUCGGAUGAGCUUACCACCAUUGUCUUCCCUUUUCUCAUACGGACAUUCUGCAACAAAGUGGCUCACAUUCCCACAAUUAUAGCAAGUCCUCACUUGUUGCUUGACCUUUGCCCCACUUGAGUUGUUCUUGUUGAAGUUGGGCCUUGUGUUCUUCUUGCUCCAAAAUUGCCUUGAAGCAAGAGCCAUGUGUUCAUGACAAGCAUACUUUGUAUCUUCGGGAUUGCUCUCCUCUUCUUCCUCUUCUUCCACACUAACCUUGGCCUUCAAGGCAAGGUUGGGCUUCUUUGCUCUUUGAGAGCAUAACACCGCAUUGUCGGCGGUCUUGUCCAAGAUGCUCAUAGCCACAAACUCAUCCAACACUUCACUUGAGGACAAGGUGUGGAAGUCUGGCCUUGGACGAUUGACGGAGGACAUGGCCUUGUGGUAAGGCAUCAUGGCCUUGAGGAACUUGCGCUUGAUCCAAUUGUCAUCCGUAUCCUUGCUCCCAUGACUCGGAGUGAGACCGCGAGAGUAGUUAAUCUCCGAUAAAGCACACGAGGUUCUUCAUCUUCUUUCAUUGCAAACUCAUCGGCUUCAUCUUGCACCACUUCAUAGUUGGAGCGUUGAAUGCUUGCGCUUCCCCGAUAGAGAGACACAACAUGGCGCCAUGCAUCCCUGGCCACGGUGAAGGCUCGGAGAUGAGCAAGAUCUUUGUGUCGAAUUGCAUCUUGGAUGAUGAAGAGAGCAUACUCAUUGAAUUGAUUAUCCGCGGCUUCUCUAGGGGUGAAGUUGCUUCGGUCAUGCGGAUAAAAAUCUUCUUCAAUGAUUCUCCAAAGGUUAAUAUUAACAUGUUUCAAAUGAAGCUUAAAGCGAUAAACCCAAGAAUCAAAGUCCUCAUUUUUCACAAUCUUAGGGGGAGGACCAACAUGAUUCAAAUGAGUGGAAGGAAUUGGUCCACCAUAAGUAAGUGGAGGUUCCACAUGGGCAAAGAUGUCAUUGCCAAUUCUACCACUAGAAGAAGGAGCCUUUUCACUAGUAGCUUUCCCCCUUGUCGGAUUUAGCAUCCGUCACCUUGUUAGUGGGAUCACCCACUUUCAAUGGUGCAGUAGAUAGUUUAAGCCCUUCUAAGAAUUUAUUAAACAUGCUUUCAACCUCGGUCGUCAUGGAGGUUUUCAAUGUGUCCAAAGCCACAUUGAAUUCCUCACGAGAGACCGCGGUUCCCCCAUCGGACGUAGACGAGACCGGAUUCACACCAGAGUGCUCCUCCACACCGUCUACGGUGUCAACCAUACUCUUCGGACAGUAAAGUCCUUAAUAAAGAGAUGAGGCUCUGAUACCAAUUGAAAGGAUCGAUAUAGUUGACUAGAGGGGGCGGGGGUGAAUAGGCAACUAACAAUUUUUGCUUUUGUUUACCAAUUUAAACUUUGCAUCAAAGUAGGUUGUCUAGAUAUGCAACUAGGUUAGCAACCUAUAUGAUGCAACAAGAACAAGUACACAAGCAAGCAAGGGAUAUAACACAAAUAAGCUUGCACAAGUAAAGGCACGAGAUAACCAAGAGUGGAGCCGGUGAAGACGAGGAUGUGUUACCGAAGUUCCUUCCUUCUGAGGGGAAGUACGUCUCCGUUGGAGCGGUGUGGAGGCACAAUGCUCCCCGAGAUGUCGUGAUUCCACUAUUGGUGCCCUUGGAGGCGGUGACCGGACCUUUACAAACAAGGUUGGGGCUAUCUCCACAACUUAAUUGGAGGCUCCCAAUGAUACCACAAAAGCUUCACCACAAUGGAAUAUGGCUCCACGGUGACCUCAACCGUCUAGGGUGCUCAAACACCCAAGAGUAACAAGAUCCACAAGGGAUGAGUGGUGGAAUCAAAUUUCUCUUGGUGGAAGUGUAGAUCUAGGCCUUGUCAACCAAUCCCUAGAGAAUCAACAAGUUUGAUUGGCUAGGGAGAGAGAUCAGGCAAAAAUGGAGCUUGGAGCAAUAAUGGAUCUUGGGGAUAGAAGAGAUAGUCAACUCGGAGAAGAAGACACCCCUUAUAUAGUGGAAGAACAAAUCCAACGGUUAUCCACCAAUUCAGCCUGCGUGGCAUGGUACUACCGCGCCGGGGACAUGGUACUACCGCAAGGGCACAUGGUACUACCGCAGUGCCCCGCGGUACUACCGCCCGAGUGGCAGAAUUUAGAACAACCCUGAAGCUGUGAGGCAGAGGGCGGUAGAACCGCUGGCACGGUACUACCGCUCCCCCUUGCGGUACUAGCGCAAGGUAGGGAUGAUCCAGAUUUUGGGAAGGCACGGACAUAUAAAAAAACAUCCGUGGCAACUUCCAUUGAGAUGGGAUCUAUGCAAAAAUCUGACACGACAGUACCGCAAGCCAGGAAUGGUACUACCGCGUGGGGUGUGGAUGUAAAAAAUUACAUCUGCUCCUACUGCCGCGCCAACUGCUGAGCCUGGCCAAAGCGCACGGUACUACCGCACACCUGGUGCAGUACUACCGCGUAGGGCGCGGAUGUAGAAAAUUACAUCCGUCCCUACUACCGCAAAAGCAGAAACGCCUGACCUGAGGGCAUAGUACUACCGCUCCAAGGAAGCGGUGCUACCGUGGGCACUCGCGGUACUACCGCGCGAGAGGCCGGUACUACCGCAAGGGCCUGCGGUACUACCGCUCCUAGGAGGCGUACUACCGCAUGCCCAGAUCAGCAAACACGGCAUUUUUGCAUAGACAAGAAAAGACGGAGGAUGCUCCAAAAGGGCCAAAGGAAAGGCGGUGCAAAGGAGAAGACGUGUACGUGAUGAUUCCACCCAAACCUUUCCAAAGCGGACCCCCACUUAAUAGUACGGCUUUCCUAUGACUCAAAUCCAUCGAAAAGAAACAUAGAGAAACACCAUCUUCAAUAGUCUUCGAGGGGCACCAAAUCGUCUUGUGCCUAGUGAUAAAGUGUGUGAAAUAGUCAAUGCACACGAUUAGUCCACAAAAGCAUUGUCAUCAACACCAAAACAACUAAGGGAAAAAUAUGCCCUUACAGAGAGGUUUUGUGAAGCCAUCAGCAAGUUGAUCUCCAGUAGGUACAAACCAAAUAUUGAUAUGUCUCCAACGUAUCUAUAAUUUUUGAUUGUUCCAUGCUAUUAUAUUAUCAACCUUGGAUGUUUUAUAUGCUAUUUUAUAUUAUUUUUGGGACUAACCUAUUAACCUAGAGCCUAGUGCCAGUUUCUGUUUUUUCCUUGUUUUAGAGCAUCGCAGAAAAGGAAAAUCAAACAGAGUCCAAUUGACCUGAAACUUCAUGGAACUUAUUUUUGGAACGGAAGCAAUCCAGGAGACUUGGAGUAGACGUCAGGGAAGCCUUCGAGGGAGGCACGAGGCAGGGAGGCGCGCCCUACCCCCUGGGAGUGCCCCCACCCUCAUGGGCCCCUCGUGGCUCCCCUGACCGACUUCUUUUGCCUAUAUAUGUCCAUAUACCCUAAAAACAUUAGGGAGUAGAAUAGAUCGGGAGUUCCACCGCCAGAAUCCUCCGUAGCCAUUGAAAACCAAUCUAGACCUGUUUCGGCACCCUGCCAGAGGGGGAAUCCCUCUCCGGUGGACAUCUUCAUCAUCUUGGUGCUCUCCAUGACGAGGAUGGAGUAGUUCACCCUCGGGGCUGAGGGUACCUACCAAUAACUAUGUGUUUGAUCUCUCUCUCUCUCUCUCGUGUUCUUGAGGUGGUACGAUCUUGAUGUAUCGCGAGCUUUGCUAUUAUAGUUGGAUCUUAUUGUGUUUCUCUCCCCUCUUCUCUCUUGUAAUGGAUUGAGUUUUCCCUUUAAAGUUAUCUUAUCGGAUUGAGUCUUUAAGGGUUUGAGAACACUUGAUGUAUGUCUUGCAUGUGCUUAUUUGUGGUGACAAUGGGAUAUCACGUGAUCCACUUGAUGUAUGUUUUGGUGAUCAACUUGCGAGUUCCGUGACCUCGUGAACUUAUGCAUAGGGGUUGGCACAUGUUUUCGUCUUGACUCUCCGGCAGAAACUUUGGGGCACUCUUUGAAGUUCUUUGUGUUGGUUGAAUAGAUGAAUCUGAGAUUGUGUGAUGCAUAUCGUAUAAUCAUACCCACGGAUACUUGAGGUGACAUUGGAGUAUCUAGGUGACAUUAGGGUUUUGGUUGAUUUGUGUCUUAAGGUGUUAUUCUAGUACAAACUCUAUGAUAGAUUGAACGAAAAGAAUAGCUUCGUGUUAUUUUACUACGGACUCUUUAAUAGAUCGAUCAGAAAGGAUAACUUUGAGGUGGUUUUGUACCCUACCAUAAUCUAUUUGUUUGUCUUCCUUAUGAGUGGUGGUCGGAGACGAGCGACGGUCUUUUCCUACCAAUCUAUCCCCCUAGGAGCAUGCGGGUAGUACUUUGUUUCGAUAACUAAUAGAUUUUUGCAAUAAGUAUGUGAGUUCUUUAUGACUAAUGUUGAGUCCAUGGAUUAUACGCACUCUCACCCUUCCACCAUUGCUAGCCUCUCUAGUACCGCACAACUUUCGCCGGUACCAUAAACUCACCAUAUACCUUCCUCAAAACAGCCACCAUACCUACCUAUUAUGGCAUUUCCAUAGCCAUUCUGAGAUAUAUUGCCAUGCAACUUUCCACCGUUCCGUUAUUAUGACACACUUCAUCAUUUUCAUAUUGCUAUGCAUGAUCAUGUAGUUGACAUCAUAUUUGUGGCAAAUCCACCAUUCAUAAUUCUUUCAUACAUGUCACUCAUGAGUCAUUGCACAUCCCGGUACACUGCCGGAGGCAUUCAUAUAGAGUCAUAUUUGUUCUAAGUAUUGAGUUGUAAUUCUUGAGUUGUAAGUAAAUUAAAGUGUGAUGAUCAUCAUUAUUAGAGCAUUGUCCCAGUGAGGAAAGGAUGAUGGAGACUAUGAUUUCCCACAAGUCGGGAUGAGACUCCGGACGAAAAAAAAA